UUUAUUUUUUGUUUUUGUUUUUUUCUUCUGCAGGUCUAACUUCCUUACAUGCCAAAAACACGAAGUAGAGGGAUGUCCGUAAUUGAACCCGACCCUGAACUAGAGCAUACUUUAACAAGAAUGAAUCAGAAUUUCGGCAUAGGUGAUGAGGUCGACCCGCAUAUUCCACCAUUGGUCGACGCUCAUGACCCUGUAUUACCAUAUAUUCGUGGGGAAGGUGAAAUAUGGAGACAACCUCCCGCUCCACGCCCUCUAGAGUACUAUAGGGAUAUGAAAAUAUCGCAGACUCUGAUGAGCCACUCAUCUUGCUCCCUUUACCACACGGCCACACUUUUGUGGUAACUAAUAGUCUAAUGCAAAUGAUCACUGCAAGAGGUUUGUUUUGAGGUCUACCUUCUAAGGAUCCACAUGCCCAUAUCGCUAAGGUAACGGCGGUGCGCAAAAGUUGUGUAGGGUGGCCCAUUUUGAAUAUGGAUGUUAUCGGGCUAAGAGUUUUUCCUCUCUCACUGACGGGAGAGGAGGCUAUGUGGUUUACUGAGCUCCACUAUAACUCAAUCUUCACUUGGAGUCAUUUGAGGGAUGCUUUCUUAGCACGCUACUACCCGGUGUCUAAGAAACUAAACCACAACGACAGUGAACAACUUUGUUGCACUACCGGGAGAUUCAGUUAGCAAUUCUUGGGAUAGGUUCAUUUCAUGCUUGCGAAGUGUCCCAAAUCAUCGCAUAGAUGAUGAUUCUCUGAAAGAGUAUUUCUAUCGAGUUCAAGAUGUUAAUAACAAAGUUGUGUUGGAUACAAUAGCGGGUGGUUCUUAUAGGGAAUGUCCUUAUUCCGAGAUUGCUGAAAAAAUUUAAAGAAAAUCUCUUGAAAUAAUAAAGCUUGGAGUACUAGGAAGUCAGAUAUUGGAAGAAACACCAUCACAGUCCGAUCCACACACAACUCAGUCGCAGAUGAUCGUCAUAAGGAGAUGGCUCAAAUGAGAACUGAGCUUGGAUUGGUGUUGAAAUAUGUUGUUGGGGCUACGGAAAAGGUAUAUGCGGUGAACUACCUGUCUAAACCACCACCGCCAAAUGAUGAAUAUUAUUAUGAAGAGGACUCCUAUGCUGUGAAUUACAAGAGGGAGGGUUUCUGAUCGAACGCCGAAGGAUCCAAUUAAUAGAAUUGGCGCCAAAGUCAAGGAAACCAAGGUCGGAAAUAUGGUAACUAUAAUCGCGAGGGUCAUUAUGUUCGAGAUGGGAAUUACAACCAUGACAACAACUUCAACCGGGGUAACUAUGGUAACAAAAAUGAUAGGAGUGGGCCCUAUGUUCCACCUCAAAAUCAAGAGAAAACCACCUUUACUUUUCCAUAUGGGACCUUUGCGUUCAAGAAAAUGCCAUUUGGGUUGUGCAAUGCACCCACCACAUUUCAGAGAUGUAUGAUGUUGAUAUUCUCCGAUAUGUAGGAGGACACUAUUGAGGUGUUUAUGGAUGAUUUUUCUAUGAUUGGUGACUCUUUUGAGCGGUGUUUGAGUAAUUUGUCUGAGGUUCUUAAGAGGUGUAAAGACUGCAAUGUAGUACUAAAUUGGGAAAAUAUCACUUCAUGGUGAAAGAGGGUAUUGUAUUGGGUCAUCGCAUUUAAGAGAAGGGUAUAGAGGUUGAUCGAGCUAAUGUCGAGGUAAUAGAGAGACAUCCACCACCUAUAUCUGUCAAAGGUGUGAGAAGCUUUCUUAGGCAUGUAGGUUUUUACCGGAGGUUUAUCAAGGAUUUUUCAAAAAUUUCGCAUCCUUUGUGAAAGUUGCUUAAGAAAGAGUGUAAAUUUUAUUUUGAUGAAUCCUGUCUUAAGGCAUUUGGUGAGUUGAAAGAAAAGUUGGUGUCUGCACCUACAUUAUUUCGCCGGAUUGGAGCAAGCCAUUUGAGGUAAUGUGUGAUGCUAGUGGGGUUGCUCUUGGUGUGGAAUUGGUGCAAAGAAGGGACAAAAUCCUUCACCCCAUUUACUAUGCUAAUAAAGCCCUAAAUGAAGCCCAAAAGAACUACACCGUGACUGAGCAAGAGCUCAUUGCAGUAGUUUUUGCUUUUGAGAAAUUUUGCUCCUAUUUUCUUGGCACUAGGGUUAUAGUGCAUACUGAUCAUUUUGCUUUGAGAUAUUUGAUGGCAAAGAAGGAUGCGAAAACGAGGUUGAUUCGUUGGGUAUUACUAUUGCAAGAAUUUGACUUUGAGGUGAUUGAUAGAAAAGGGACCGAAAAUCAAGUUGUUGAUCACUUGUCCCGUUUAAAAGAUGAGCAAUGAGAGAGUUGGGGGAUAAUACUGAAAUUGAUGAUACUUUCCCCGAUGAGCAUGUAUUGGCCGCCUCUUAAGACUUGAUUUCAUGUUUCGCAGAUUUUGCAAAAUAUAUGGCUAGCGACAUCGUCCCACCGGACUUUUCCUUUCAUCAAAGGAAAAAUUUUAUGUAUGAUAUAAAAGAGUUCUUUUGGGAUGAUCCACACUUGUAUAAGAGUUGUGUCGAUGGGCUUAUGAGGCGUUGUGUGCCAGAAGUUGAGAUGUUGAGUGUUUUGGAGGCAUGCCAUUCUUCAUCCGUAGGUGGACAUCAUAGUGGUAUUUGGACCGCUCACGAGAGAUAUGGAUACUAUUUGCCAACUAUCCACCAAUAUGAUCAUGAGUUCGGUAAGGCAUGUGAUAGAUGCCAAAAAGAUGGUGGCAUAUCGAGAAAGCAAGAGCUCCCUUUAAAUCCCAUUCUUGUUAUUGAGCUAGUUGAUGUGUGGGGUUUGACUUUAUGAGUCCUUUUGUCAGUUCUCAUGGGAUGAAGUACAUUCUAGUAGCGGUCGAUUAUGUUUCUAAAUGAGUGGAAGCUAUCGCACUCGCAAAUGAUGAAGGGAAGAGUGUCACCACAUUCUUGAAAAAGAAUAUAUUUUCCCGAUUUGUCACCCCAAUGGCUUUUAUUAGUGAUGGGUGAUCCCACUUUUGCAACAAAUUUCUUAAGGCAUUAUUUGAAAAAUAUGGGGUUCGACAUUAUCUGGCCAAUCCUUACCAUUCUCAAACUAGUGGGCAAGUUGAGGUGUAAAAUAGGGAGAUUAAGCAUAUUUUGUCAAAAAUGGUGAAUGGUAGUAGAACGGAUUGGUCAAGGAGGCUUGAUGAUGCUCUUUGGGCCUACCGGACAUCAUACAAGACUCCCAUAGGUAUGUCCCCAUACAAACUUGUAUAUGGGAAGGCUAGUCACUUACCGAUUAAAUUAGAGCAUAAAGCCUUGUAGGCAAUGAAAAAGUUGAAAAUGGAUUGGAAUAAAGCUGUUGAACAGAGGAUAAAUGGGUUGAAUGAGCGUGAUGAAUUUCUCCUAAAAGCUUAUGAAAGUUCAGCCCUCUACAAAGAAAAGAUGAAGAAGUACCAUGACCAAAAGAUUGAGAAAAGCGAUUUUAUGGUUGGGGAUUUGGUGCUUUUAUUCAAUUCUAGGUUGCGUUUGUUUCCAGGAAAAAUCAAGUCCAAAUGGACUGGUCCUUACUUGAUCACCCAACUUUUCCCUCACGGAGUGGUUGAGUUGGAGAAAAAGGAGGUUGUGCGGAUUAAGGUAAAUGGAUAGCGAAUAAAAAUCUAUCUGGGGCACGCUGAAAUGGAAAAUUAAGUGAUCAGGGCAUACCAUCUUGAAGAAGUCUGAGUAAUCAAGUGUCCUACGUCGUGCCGCGACAUUAAAUCAAGAGUUGGUUGGGAGGCAACCUUAUAUGUAUCCUCUAGCCAACUAUAGGUCGUUCAUAAUUUUCUAGUUAUAGUUGUAUGUUUCUUCGUUUUGAUUUCCUUAAACGUCCCGUCUAAAUAUUUGUUUCUUUUUGCUAGAAGCGUUGGCCAGAGCAUAGUUAAGGCUCCGUGUAAAAAAAACCCAGAAAAUAAAAAAAGAAUAGCUUAAUGGGUGUUAAAUUUGCAGGUAUCACAUCACCAGAAAAUCUGCAGAAAAUUGCUAUGCAGCACCCUUUGACGGACCCAUCGACGGACCGUCACGCUUGAGACAGACCGUCGCAAGCAUCCGUCGUUCUCAUGUAUGUUUUCAAAAUUUUUCUAUGUUAGGAAACGCAUGACAGACCUUCACAACGGACCGUCAUGUCUGCGACAGACCGUCGAUGGGGACUCGUCGCGUCAAAACCCGUAGACCCGACCCGACCGGGGAAUAUUAAAAGUUUUAAAACGUUUUAACUUUCCACCACUUCAUUCAAACCGUUUCUUUCCCUCAUAUCCUCCAUUUUCUCCCUCUUCAUCUCCUCAAACACUCUUCUUUUCUCUGAUCUUCUUAUUCCCUUCCUUUACCCACAAUCCCCAAAACCCUUUCUUCUCCCAACUACCAAAGUAAUUUCUCGUUCUUUGCCAAUCGGAGCCUUGGUUUAGUGCGCUACUCAUCACUUUUUGGUGUUGCAUUUCUCCUUCAUUGACUUCAUUAUUAGGUAUGUUCUUCUGCACUAUCACUCAUCUAUAUUUUGCUCUUGUUUUUCCAUGCUAAAAUACAUGUUUCUGAAUGUGUGGGUGUUUGAUAUUUGACCCCUAGUGCAUGUUAAGACCUCACCCCAACAAUCAUAAGUGCCUUUACAUCAUUAUUAUUAUAAAAAUAAUGGGGUUGUUGUGUUAAUUAAAUAGAAUGGGGGGUGUCUGUUUUUGAUACUUGUUUCUUACCUGGGUUGAUAGUUCUUCGAAAUUGCAUGAUAAAACUUGAGAAAUUAUUGCCCUAGGAAUGCUAGAUGAUGGGUAAAUUGGUUAGGAAUUGUGGGUUGAUAAGUUUAAUUCAUAUUAGCAAAUUUAGGGGACAAAUUAUGCAUUCUCAAUUAUGUUACUAUAAGACAGAACGAGACCCGAUAAUGGACCGUCGUGCCCACGACGGACCAUCGUAAAUGAUGAACCGGCAUACCCACGACAGUCCGUCCUGCACAACCGUCACGGUUGUUAGAGACCCUAUUUUUGAGGUUCUCAAAAUACUUUCUAAGUGUCCCCCUACGACACUUAUGACGAAUCGUCAUACCCACGACGGUCCAUCCUACACAAUCGUCACGGUUUUCAAAGACCCUAUUUUUGAACGUCUCCAAUUACAUUCUAAGUGUCCCCCUGCGGACACUUAUGACGGGUCGUCAUACCCGCAACGGUCCAUCAUGCACAACCUUCACGAUUGUCAGAAACUUUCUUUCUGAGAGUCUCAACAUUUUUCUUAAGUGUUACUCAACGGGCCUCUGCGACGGACCGUCAUGCCUACGAUAGUCCAUCCUGCACAACCAUCAUCCUGAGGACCCCACUUUCCCACAUCCCUCUGCCCACGAGCAGAAAACUAGAGAUGCACAACAUGUGGGCCUUGUCUAAUGAACAACGACUUCUUUGUGAAAGUCUCAAAAUAUUUUCCUAAGUGUUUCAUACCCCCAUGACGGUCCGUCAGACUUCCAAUAGACCGUCAAUGGGUCCGUCGUGCAGUACUAAAAAUGUAGCACUGCCAAUUCAGUUUUGGUUUUGUGUUGUUGUUUUCUUCUAUGCAUGUCUUGUUUGUUUCUAAUGGUACCAAUUGUUGUUAUAUGCAGGUACUGACAAACAUGCCACCAAAGCAAGAUUGAGUAUAGUCACGUGGGUGUUCCAAGUCUGUCACCCAUCUGCCCGAUGGGUCAUUGGCUUUUACAAUGAGCGUGACCCCGAAUACGUGCCCCUAGGCACUGUCACUCCUGUAUGCAUCACCAGAGCCACCCCCAUGAAGGUGGCGCCGGGCGUAGUCGCUGCCUCCCAAUUUGAAGAGAAAUGCAUACUGACCAGCAUGCCUUCUGGGUCUUCUAUAUACUCCAGGGAUGCUUCGAGUUCUAAAGAAGUAACGGGUUUAGAAGAAGUCUCCGGGUAAGAGGAGGCUUCUGCUCUAGCCACUACAUCCCAGUCUGCCUCGUCUGAUGAUCCCGAUAGUGCUGAUUCCACUUUAGUACCACUGACUGGAGUCCCCGCCCCGGUUGACAACCAGCCUAAGUAGUGGUGUGUUGAGAGGAAGUUUCAGGUGUACACAGAUGCCAAGCUUCCGAAUGAUAAGGGGGUUAUGACCCAGGAACAUGCUAGAAUGGACAACUUGUGAUAUGGGCCGAUACAGUGAGGAGUUGGUCAGAGAGUUCUACACCUCGUAUGUGGGGACUCUUUGAUCCCAUAUAGAUAGGCAGGCUGCCCCCACCAAACAUGCCCGCUAGAUCACAUUCGAGUCCGCGACAAGCGUGUAGACAUCUCCUUGCCAGCCAUCCGUCGGUAUCUAUACGACAAUAAUGUUGAUGCCACCCAGACUGCUCUCACCGCCGAGUUCGACUAGCUGUGGAAACUGUUUAACGAUGGACAGUUCCUGCAUGAGCCAAAGUUAAGAGAGACCAUUAAGAGGUGGAUUGCUUGGUACCUAUCCAUUGAUGGAGAGGCUGUUGACUUUGUACUUGAGCCAAAGGGAGCCAUCAAAAAGCCUAACAAGACAUUCACGGCUAAGUUUUUGUGGUUGAUAGUACGCCACAUCCUUUCCCCCACUGUUGUAGACAAUAUUGUCAGAUGGGAUCACACAAUUCUAAUGGCGGCGAUGAUAGCAGGGUUCGAGGUGGACUUCGCUUGGCUUCUUAGGAGUUCAUGCACGAGAAGGACUUCAAGGUCACUACUAUUUACCCAUUUCCAUGCAUGGUGUUUGCUUUGUGUAGGUCCGUAGGUGUGCCCAUUUGAAAAAUAGAUCACAUCAAGACCCCGCCAGGCACUGUUGAUAUAGGCCUCAUCAGGGACGAGGCCAAUGAGUUGACUCUACACAGAGGGCCCUGCCCAGAGGUACUUCCUCUUGGUCAGAACCUGGCGGAUACAGUAGAGAAAGUCAAAACGGCUACCCAGGAUACAUCUGAUCCUACUGACACCACCCGGGUCGACUCUAUCCCGGGUGAUAGCACCACUCCGAGAUCCUCUCGCUUGACUCCCUCCCCACUCUGGUCCCAGUUGCUAGCAUCCAGAAACUUGAGGCCCAAAUGGACACUCUUUUGUAUCACAUCCAACCUUGGAUGCAGAGGUCUAUUGCUGAGGAGGAGGAGCGCAUGGAGAGGAAGAUGGACCAGCACACGGAGAGGAACAUCAUGGAGGUUCAUUAGCGCCUUGACGCUUUUGAGUUGCGUGUGCUAGACCGGCCAGCCCCUCUGGUAGAUGUGUCAACCCUUUAGGCUGCUGUAGAGAGUAUGAGAGUUGACCUGGACAUGAUUCUAGAGGCUAGGGUGCCCGAGUCUAAGGCCCCUUCUGUAGAGUCCGCUAAGGAUACUGUUUUGGCGGCCUUAUCCUCCACUUUUGCAGUUCCACCACCUCUACCACGAGAACAUGUCAAGAGGAGUAGAGGUAGAAAUGUGGAUGAAGCUAGGGCAUAGAAGAGGGAGCGCCGAGAUUUCGAGGCUGCGAGGAGAGCCUCGAUUGCUGAUGAGGAGGCCCGUCAAUUGAGGGCUAUUGAGUUGGCUGUUGGGGAGUUUAGCUGCAGAGUUAUUGAGGCGGAGAAGAUCACUACUAAUGGUGUUGUGAUUGUUGAGAGAGGCACUACUGAGGGUGUUGUUGAUGCUAAGGACAAUACUGAGGGUGUCCAUACUACAGAGGGAAUGGGUUCUAGGACACCAGACCCACCAGGUUGUUGAUCGCUGGCGCUUUGCACCUUAGGUUUGCUUCACCUACCACUCUAUUAUUUAGGAUUCUUUUAUGCAUUGGGGACAAUUUCAUAUCAUUUUGAGUGGGGUAAAUGGAAGUGAGUGCUAGGUUGAAGUUUGAAUAGCCCAGUUCACGAUUUUUAUUUUGGGGUUUUCUUGCAUGUGUUCUUUUCCCCCAAGAGACUGAUUAUUUUUAUUGUAGAACCGGCCUAUCUAUUUCUUGUGUACAUAGUAUAACUCUGAAGCAUGAUGGGUAAAACAGAAAUGAUAUCCUGAUGUAAUGAAAAUGAUGAAUAACUAGGCAUAGUAACUGAUAAAUGUGUGGCUCUAAGCAUGACAUAGAGAUACACUACGAUAUGACCCUAAAUCUAAGAUUUGAACUAGGUAUCUGAUAAUCUUAUAGAGUAAUGAGAUUUCAAGUGAGAGUGAGGAAAAUUUGAAUAUUCCACCAUUGGUUUUGAUCUAGAACUUGCCUGGUUAGUCAUGUUAAUAGUAAGUCGUAACAGAAAAUUAGGAAAGAAUCAUAGGCCCUUGUUCAAUAUAGCCAAUCUUUAGCCUAAAUAACAGAAAACCGAAUGAAAUUAAUCUCAUCUUGAGCCAAAUGAUUUGAGCUUAAAAUAGACCUUUCUUUUUCACCCCAACUGAUCUUUUCUAGGAACAAUGUGUUGGCCCUGGUCCCUCCUUGGACAUGUGCACCUCAGCUUAUGCCAAAAGCAUAAGUUGAGGGUGGUUAAUGCGGAUAAACAACCUUGUCGUAGCCUUGACCCAACAUUGGGUAAUGUGUACUUUGACUCAUGGCAAAGCCAUGAGUUGAGGGUGGUUAUUAUGAGGAACGCUCCGGAAAGUGGGAUUGAAAGAACAAAGAGUGAGAAAGAACAAAAGAAAAGUGACUAAAGAAAAGUUGAAACAAAAGUGAAAUAAUAAAAUAAUUGAAAAUGUGAAAAUACAAGCAAGAAAAGAAAAGAGUCAUUUACACAAAAGAAGAAAGAAGGGAAAAUAGCAAAGUGAAAGAAUAUAAGAAAAUUAAGAAAUAGGGCGAAAUAAAAUUAAAAUGUAGGACGCUUAGCCGAUAUGUUAAGGAGAGAAACAAUUCACUAAAGUAUACAUAAAUAUACCCUACCUGACCCUGAGCCUAUGCUACAAGCUAAAAAAGUCCUAUCGUGACCCUAAGAGUAGUUAUGGAGAACUUAAAGCAGUGAAAAUAAGAGAAAGCCUAUGGAAUAUAAAUGAGUUGUGAAGUUGUUUAGAACUGAGGUCAUUGUGUGAAAAAUGAGGAUGUUAUUUUGAAGUGAGGAUACUAGUUGCAAUACCGGAAAAAUUAGCACCUUGGUGAGAAAUCAAAGAGGAUAGGUGUCAGUGUGUAGUGAGUUUGUAUCAUGGUCUGAUCCACAUAAUUCAAGCCUAAUAGUGAUAGCAUGCAUUAACAUUAUGAGAAUAAUCAGGAUUGAUAGCCAAAUGGUUGCGAAAGCUAAAAUAUGGAUACUCUUGUACAAAAAUUUUGUAGUGAGUCAUAUUGUGUCGCUUGAGGACAAACAAAGAAUUUAAAAUAAGCGUGUUGAUGUAGCGUGGUUUCUUUGUACUUUCAAUGUCUUUCCUUAAGUUUCAUGUGUGUCUAAAGCCUUUUUGUAUUGAUUUUUGAUGUAGUUUUCUAUAUAUUACCAAGAAAUCUGUCCAAAGGAGAAUGCAGAGAUUUGGAGCUAAAAUUACAUAAGUGACCACCUACGGACCCCACGAUGGUCCGUCGUGACUGUGACAGUCCAUAGGGGUCAACUGUUAUAUGAAGAUAAUGGUUGCUGAAGGAAAUUGGGGAAUUCUUAUCAAGUUUGGGACUACAGAAGAUCACAAUGGACCAUCAUAGCCACGACGGUCCGUCCUGCACAUUCGUUUAUGCUAACAGAGAGUAGUCUAGUACCUAUCUUUAGAAGAUUCUAAGUGUCGUUGAACGAAACCCCUCGAUGGACCUUCGUGCUCACAAUGGUCCAUCAUACUUGUCCGUCGAGGGCAAUAGAGAGUUGAUGGAGAAAGAAUCAGAGAUUUGUGCUAAGUAUGGAACAACGGAAGCCACGACGGUCCAUUGUAGUCAUGACGGUCUGUCACAACGUUUGUCGACUCGGACACGUUUUGGGAAAACUUUUCCUUAAAUAGAUUUACCUCUUUUAUUAGGUUUUGUUUCUUAUAAAUAUUCCAAAAAGCCUUGUUUUUAGGGUUAAACCUUUGGAUAUAUUUCAGUUCAAUUGUCUAAGUAUUGAACUUUCGAUUUUGAGAUUUGAUAUUGCUUUUCCGGGAUCGAUUAUUUGUGUUUUGUGAAUUAUUCAAGUAAAUUUAUGGAUUUUGUUUAUUCUCAUUAAAGUAAGUGCAUGAAUUCUUAUAUUAUCAAUAUGAAUUGUGUGAUCAUUAGCAUGGGUAACUAAACUCCAUAACUAGGGUUGUGGGAACCAUGGGUAAAUAACAAGGUAAAACCUAGCUAAAAUAACAAUUCUAGAAUAGUGUCUUGCAUGUAUUGAUAUUUUUUUUGCUUAGAAGUCUUUUUAAAGGAUAGCCAAUGUUAGAAAUCGCCUUAUUACUACAUGCCGAACAAAGGAGGUAGAUGAUAGAAACAGAAUCAUCAACAUAGAUUUUAGUGUAUAGUGUAUAAUAGGCUAGUGUCGGUUGAUACGAGGUAACAACUUAGUCAAAUAUCAAAUAUGAUGCUUAAUAUGAGGCAAAAAUAAGGUUUAGUAAAGCAACACAAGUAGCCAGACCAAGGUGUGGAGUGAAACUCUCUAGAUGCCGGACAAAAGAUUUAGAGAUAUCUAACUCAUCACUUUGCAUGCACAAUACUAGGAAAGGAUUGUUAUAGCUAGAAUUACCAAGUUAGGAACCUGUGAGGAACUCUUACACUUUAUUUACUUUCAUUACUUGAUUAAACUCCAAUACUUGAACAUGUCACUUGUUUACUUUUGUUUAGCUAAUUGCUUUCAUUAAUCGAAACCUCCUUUAGUUAGUUGUUAUCGGGAAAUAAUUGACUAAAUAGAAGUAGUAAUAGAAUAAAGUUAUGUCUGAACCAUUUUCCUCGUGGGAACGAUCCGAACCUCACUAGUUGGGUUCUUUACUUGAUGAGACCGCUUUUACUUCGUUUCGAGAAUUACAUUUGAGCGUAUCAAGUCCUUUUGAAAAUUUGUGGGGUUUUUUUUGGGUUAGGAUGUUUGAAUAUAGGCUCACCCUUGAUAAGUGAUGGUGUUUCUAACCAAGGUCCUUAUGUGUGCCUAUAAAUUGUAAGAAUUAUUCCUAAAUGAUGCAUGUUUAUGAAAACUAGUGUCAUGUUAAAAAUUGAAUUUAUGAGAAAUGACUUUCUAUUGUUGUGAUGUGGAUGGUGUGAUUUACCAUUUUGACUUCAUAAGGAAGGGAUUAUAAGCAUUCCUUAGUUAGAAUUAGAUUAAAUCUCUUUAAAAUGAAUUUACCUUUGUGCAUACUUUUAUACGACUCUAUGAUGCCAUGUUAGUAUGUUGAUAGAGAAGGACAUUCCUCCUGAAACCUAACUAAAAUUGAAGAUGUUAGGUAUGGCCUAAAUGGUAUUUUAUCUAAGUGAUAAGGAUCUUUAUUGAUCUAAUUACUCAUGUCCUAUGUGAAAUUAGUAUGAGUUGCUUAUUACCUUCUUGAGAUAUGCUUAUUUGUGAUUUAAAUUAUAAUGCACGUUAAGAUAUUAAUGAAAUGAAAUGUAGAGGUCAUGUCAUGAUUAGGAUAAGGAUGUUCCUCCUAUGAACAUGAGAAAUGUGUAUGUGUUUGAUGCAUUAAGGAGUAAGAAAAUAAAGGUUUUACUUGCUUGUGUUGCAUUGAGUGCAUGAUGGUAUAAAUUUUGUGUUCCUUGUAAGUUUGGUGCAUUGACUAUUAUGUGAUGAUGUACUUAAUGUUGUGAGCUUCUAUGUCGGUCAUUGAGUCCUUGGAAGUGUUUAAAAUGUUCCAAGUGUCAUUCGAGCACGAUUUUUUCCAAGUGGGGGAUAAUGUGACGACCCUAAAAAUGAAAUAGGUUUAUCUAGAGCCUCACAUAUGAUUAAAGGUUUAAUAACACAUAAACAAAGUGUCACAGUUUGUAGUAGUCAUUUUAAAGAGUUUGGAAGUCAAAGGUCAAAGGACGACCAAGACAUUCGUAAACUAGACUUUUAAGUGUUAGUGUGUGCUUGUAUGUUUGCCUUCUUUUUAUGUGUUGUUUGGAGUCUAAAAACAGCGGAGUUGAUCCUAGUAUCUUAAUAUACAUACUAACGGUCAAAAUAUCCAGGUACAACUCUCCGAGGACUAACCUAAGGGUCCUUGAGGAGGACCCAAACGUUUGACAAGGAAGCUGCCCAAGACAGCGUGCAUCACCAAGAAGUAAGGACAUUGCGCGUCGCGCACCUGGUAGUCAAACUCUUGUGCUUCACGUGACUGACAAAAGGAUCACUGCCUCAAAAUUCUCGUGAGGCAAAAAAAGGGGCUGCCUUCACGACCCGCAGCCACUUCCCAGAUUCGGUUGCGUCGUUUUAAAGUCAUUUUAGACUUGGUUUAAAGGUGCAAUAAGUAUGGAGGUAUUUUGGCAACUUUGGGAGUCUUUUAUAAGCUAUAUAUAGUUAUUUAAUCCCUUUCCCAAUUCAAAACCCCAACACCCAAUAAGAAAUAAAAAAUUCUAAAACUUUCUUCUCUUCCAAAUUCUCUAAAUCCUCCAUUGGAGGGAAAACUCAAGCUCAAGCUAGGAGAUAAAUUUUCAAGUGGUUUCAUCUCCAAAUGUGUGGGCUUUUCUUCUAUUGAGGUAUGUUAAGCCUUGAUCCUUAGUUAACCUUUCAUCUAAGGAAUUCAAUAGGAGGUUUUUCAGUGAGAUGAUAAAUCAAAAUCUCUAUCUUUCAAUCUAGACAUGGAUUCAUUUUCAAAUUGAUUUCAAAAGAAUUGGUGAAUUUAUGAUUAUAAAUAAUUUUAAGAUGAAUUUAAAUCUACUUCCAUGAAGAAUCCACAGUUCCAUUAGUCUCUCAUUUUAUGAUAUAAUAUGGGUCUUGUGAUCUUUACUAGAUGAUUAUUGGAUUAUGAUUAGUUUGUUAUGAAUUCUUAAUUAUAUGUUUAUCUACGUCAAUUGAUAAUGAAUUUUUGAGAAUUGAUCAAUGUUGAUCAUACCUUGGAAGUACUUGUGAGUUGACCUAAUUCCUAGUCGUUGGUAAUGAAUUUGAUGGUGUGUGGUUUGGUCCACUUAUGGUGGCGGUAUUUACCUUAUUGUCUAUCUAUCUAUAUAUUGUGAUCAUGGCCUUUAAGGAAAUUGUGUAAUUUGAAUUGUGAUGAUAAUGAUCAUACGUAUGAAUGUUUUUGUGCAGUGUUUAAUCAUAGUAUCAUGUUCUAGGUAUAGUUCUAAUGUGAUUGACUUUAUUAGGGUAAGGUCUGGUAUAUAUGUUUUAACUUUGAUGAAUUUACUACUGAAGGAUGACCCCAUACCUAUAUGACCCUAUAUGAAUGUGUGAUCAUUGCAUGUUAAGAGUCUUCUAUUCUAAAGUUGAAUAUACUCUUUCUCCUAUGAUGUAAUGUGAGUGUGUGUCCUAAAUUCCCUAAACUUCUAUAUGUGAGUUGUUCAUGACUUGAGGGAGACAUGGUAUAUGUGUUGUAGUCUUGGAAUUGUGGAUUCCUAAGUUACUAGGUGUUACUCUUAUGAGGUCAUGAUGACCAAUAUGCACACACACACAUAUAUCAUGCAUCACUAUAAGUGUAAUAUGUUCAUGAUGUCAAUGAAUGGAAGUAAAAGGGAUGUAUCUUAACUAGGAUGACUUGAUAGGUGUACUAGUGUAAGAAGCGUAUGGGACCUUACCUAUACAUUCACAUGUGUACCUUGAUAGAUAGUUCCUAGGGUGAUCUCUUUAUGUAUAUAAGUAUCAACGCAUGAUUAAGCUAUGAUCAUUAUAAAUAUGAGAUGAUGAUAAAUUCAUGAUUGUGAGGAAUUAGAAGUGAUCUCUUAUGCAUCUUAAUGUUAUGUUAUGAAGUAAAGUAUAUGCAUGAUAAAGUAUGAUCAUGUAGUGUCUAAAUUUGUUUACAUUAAAGGUUUGCUCAUAUAUGUACACCUACACACACAUAAAGGAAUGAAUAAAUGAAGCAUGUUAUGAUAAUCUACUAAAGUAGGGUCUUUUGAAUGGUAUUAUUCAAUUAUACUCUAAACUUGACUAUUCUAUGUCCAUGUGAAAGGAUAUUCUCAUAUGAUUUAGGUGUUUAUGAAAGGACAUUCUCAUAAUUAACCUAUGAGCUAUGCACAUGAGGGGUUAAUCUCCUAAAGCCUAUUUUUAUGAAGUAAUGGUAAUAACGGCUUUUUAAAAAAAAGGGAACUUAGCUUAGAACCGAGUGAACUUGAUAAUGAGAUGUUCCCUUUCCCAAAAAGGAAGGUAUGUUCACUCUAUGGUUUCUCAUGAAGUGGAAACUACAAUGCCAAUUGGCAUAAAGAGGGUUUCAAUUAUACAUAUCCUAGUUCCUUAACUAUGUUGCCCCCAUAGGACCUAGAAAGUGGAUCCACCUAAUAUGCUACCAUUAUUUUAAUGUUCUACCUUGGCAGGUAUAAUACCUCUUUUGAGUGUGGGGUUCCAUGAAACCAGAUUUCAUGUUUAGCUCACAUGGUCUUAAUAUCUGUUAAGGCUAGAGUUUCCCUUAAGUAAAAUGGACGAUGGAAGUAAGAUGAUGAACCCUAACUAGGAUCACCUAAGGUAAGUUUUUUAGUGUAGGUGAGGGUAAGGGGCUUUACCUAUGCAUUGCACAAGUAUCUCUUGAGGGGAUUUGAAGGAGGGAGAUCGACAUGUAUAUAUGUGUGUGUGUGUAUUACUAUUAUGCAUGAUAUUGUAGUAUUGUCCUACUUGCAUGAUGAAAUUCUUGAUGUGGGUCUUAUGACUAUAUGAUGAAGAUAUUACUUGAUAUGUAUGUAGUUGUCUAUACUUGUCUAAUUGAUAUAUGAAGUAAGUGAUAGUGCUUGUGGUCUCUUUUUGGGUUUACUUAGUAUGUGUUAGGUUAUGGGGCUUCACAUGUACAUUGCACUAGUAGGCUUAGAUUGAGAUUAUGAGUAAGUCUUAGGAGGUAGUAAUGAAAUGAAGUUCAAUCGAGCACUUGAUGAUUAUUCUGUUAUCAUGAUGAUAUGAUAAUGUUGACAGUAUUGUCUUGCAUGUUGUAAGUGAAUGAGUCUUAUAUGAGGUUUAUGAGUUACGUUGGGUCAUAUGUGAAGUAUGUGUUUCAUAAUAUACUACGCUUCUAUGAAUGUAUAUGUUUGAGUUAAUCAAGGUUGUAUGAAUGUUCACCUUCCUUAAGAUGAUGCUUGAGUAUGGAUAGUUGAAUGAGACACUAUUCAUGCAUUGCACCAAGUAUUACUAAAGGGUUACUUUGUGGUAAGUGAAUUAAGGUAAAAGAAAGAUAAUGUUAUGAAAAUUAUUAAUGUGACUUAAAAGUGAUAUGUGGUUUUAUGUGGUUCUUGUGACUAUUAUACAUGUCUAUAUGAAGCAUAUGAACUAUAUUGUAUUAUUAUGAAAAAGUUCAUGAAGUUUUACUAGAAGAUAUGAUGCAUGGUUUCUAACUAAACGUGCUCUUUAAAUGCAUGUCUUUGCAUGGUUGUCAUACUUAGUGCAAUCUUGUACUAUUACCAUUCUUCUUCAUCUUUCUACACAAAGUGUAGAUGGUGAUGGCUAGAGGAUGUUUCUUAAAUUGAAGAGCUUGAUAGAUGUUUCCCAAGCUCCAAAAAGGGAUCCUUAAGAUUCAAGGAUUUCCUAUGUUAAGAUACUAUUUAAAGUAUAUGUAAUAGGUUAGAUAUUAUUCUAUAUUGUUAAGGGUCGUGUCCUAAUUCUACUCUAUUGAUGUUGAGUCUAAGAUGGUAAAAGAGACUUAGAGUGUAAUUAUGUACUUAUGAUAUUUUAUUUAUAUAUGAAGUGAUAUUCUAGCAUAUGAUGUGCUAUAUAAGUUUUAAAUUUUCCACAAAUUUUCCUAUGACAAUGCGAUGAAUGAUGUCUAUGAGCUUGUAAAAGACCUCAUAGAGGUCAAGUACGCCAUGUUACUUCCAGGGGGUGUUCACCGGUCAUGACAAUAAGUAUAUCUGAACUUCCAUGAUUUCCCUGAAUAAUGCAUGUUCUUGUGAAUAAUUCAUGUUUCAUAUGUCUUUAAUUGUAUGUUCUUCAUGAUAAAGCUUAAUUAUAUGGUUGGUAUAAGUGAGCCAUGUAAUAUUUCUUGUUGUGAAAUUUUUCAAGUGUGAAGUGAUGAAAUAAAGUAUUGACUCCUUGUUGAAUAUGUUGACUUAUAUGAGAAGGAGAACGACUUUUCUCCUUGCAUAAUGUGAAAUUAUGAAAUGUGUGCAUAGUUGGUAGUUGAUAUAGUUUCACUUCUUAAUGAUGCAAUGUUAUAUUUGGGAAUGGAGUGAAUGUUUUCUCCUUUGAUGGUGAAUUAUCAUUAUAUAAAUGUGCUUUUUGGGAUGCUAGUAUUGAGUCAUAGAUUCCAAAAAGAGAUGUUCAAACUGUCAUUCGAGGACGAAUGCUCCCCGGGGGGAAUAUUGUUAUACUUCGGAAAUCCAACAACCUAGGCUAGAGAUUCACCUAAUGAAUAAUGAUAAGAAAUGGUGUGUCCAUACCUAAACUAAUUUAUUUAAAUUGAUUUAUAAGUAUUAGCGAAAAACGUCAAGAAACGACCAUGACAUUGAGAAACUACUUAAAUUGAACUAGUAAACGUCCUUAGGUCUUGUGAAGGUUUGGGAGUGUCGUAUGAAGGAUAAAACUUAUUAAAGUACUCUAAAUAGGUAAAAUAAUAUUUUAGGGAUAAAAAGUUUCAGUUGUGACCCCCCAAGGACCACCCUAGGGAUCCUUGAGGAGGGCCCAAGCGCUGGCAAGGAGGCUGCAAAGACAAUGAGAAAACAACCCCUUUUUGGAGGUGCUCAGGCAUCGCGCCGUCUACACUCAAAAGGAAAAAUUUAUCUUGUGGAAAGGGAUUUUCACAAACCUCUCUUCCUCAAAUAAAAUUCGAGAAAAAACAUGUGGAAGUGCCUCCGCGGCGCACAACCAUGUCCCAGAUUUGGUCGCGUCAUUUAAAAAUCAAGUUUGACAUAAAAAAAAAUCCAACUAAGUGAAGGGUUUAAGAAUUUUAGUGAUGGGUACAUAUUGAUUUUAAGUCAGUUUUACGUCACUUUUACCCACUCAAAUAAAAUCCACUAAUCGAAACCCAAAUCUCUCUGACUUCUUGUUAAAUUCUCUCCAAUUCUUGCUAAAUUCUCUCUCUACCCAUUCUCCAUUGAAGAACAUUUAAGCUUCAAGAAAAAGACCGAUUCUUCAAGUUUCCUACUCAAAUUCGUGGAUAAAGUCUUCAUUAGGGUCUGGAUUUUUUCACGCUUGGGAUUCAUUUUCUCAAGAGGUCCACUUAAAUAUUAUUUCAAAUCCCCCCAAAAAAAUCAAAGGUUUUUCUCUACAUAUGGAUCUUCUUUUAAAACCUAAAUUUUGGAUCAAUUAUGAUAAAUUAGGAUAGUUUAAGUGUAUAAUUAUUGGUAAUUGUUGUUCACUUGAAAUCCACAGGACCCACGUUCUUCCCCAAUUUCAUAAAUCUUAGAUCUUGUUUGAUGAAUUAGUUGAAGAUGAUGAAUAUAUCAAUUUUUAUAUUUGUGUUAAUUGUAUUAUUACUUCAUGGAAUUCCAUAGAUUAUGUAUAGUUUGGGUUUUGACCAAAUUCCUUGAGAACCCCCGAAUGUCCCUCUUCUCCUAACCCUCACUCUUAAUUUAUGUUGAAUUAUGAUUAGAGAUGAUGUAAUUGAGUAUGAUCAUGCUUAAUUGACUAUUAUAUGAUGAUUAUGAUAAUUGUUUUGUUGGUUAAAUAUCAUCGAUUUGGAAUGAAGUCUUGAAUGGGUUUCUUAGGGGCCAUUGGUAAGAUCUUUAAGGUCAUGAACAUGUUGUUGUAUUGUUGCACUAUCUUUGGUAAUGCUGGUUAAUUGAAAUAUGAAUGAUGAAGUUAUGAAUGUAUUAUCAUGCUAUAAAUUAUGAUGGGUGUGAGAUUAUGAUAGGUGUAAUAUUAUGAGGGGUUGAAGGUAAUUUCUAUGUGCAUCUUAUGACUAUGUUAUGAAGCAUUGUUCUCACAUGAUGUUUGGUUGUGGUGAAAGGAAUUUCUUUUCCUAAAACCUAUGAGCUAUGAACAUGUUAUAUGAGGGCUUAAACUCCAUACCUAUGUUAUUAAUAAUGUUAAGGAUGACUUAAAGAUACUUCAAAAAGGGAAUUUAGCUUAGCACCGAGUGAAUUUGACAAUGAGAGGUGUUCCUUCAAAAAGAAAGAGAGGUUAACACUAUUUUCUUUCAUGAGGUGGAAACUACAAUGUUAAUUAGCAUAAAGAUGUUUUUUACUAACAACCUUCUAGUUCCUUAACUAUGUGCCCCCCAUAGGAAACCUAGCUAGUGGAUAAACAUAUUAGGUUGUGCAGCCUGAUUUAUAUAUAUAACUGUUUACGCGGUUUAAUCUCCAUUUAUUCUCUGUAACCAAAAAUACUCUGAUUUAUUAAUAUAUAUACACCACUACCGUGGAAGUUUACUCACGGGGUGUUACCACGAAAUAUUGGUCUCUUUGUCUAUAUAUAUCUCUCAUCUAUUUCUCUCUAAAGUUCUUCUGUUCUUUAUUCAUCAAAUGUGUGUGGAUUUGAUCCUAACAAACCUGGAUGCUAUAUGAAUGUAUAUGUCUUACCUUGGCAAGUAGGACACCCUCCUUUUGGUAUGAUGGGAUGACACCGGAUUUCAUGAUAGCUCACAUGGUCUAUGUCAGUUAUGGCGAAGUUUUUUCAAAGUUAAAAUGGAUGAAUGAAAGUAAGAAGAUCAAAACUAACUAGGACUACUUAAUGGGUCUUACUUACUAUAGGUAAGGGUAUGGGACUUUACCUAUACAUUGCACAAGUGGAUUUUAAGGGGAGUUCUAGGGUAGGUUCUUUAUGUAUAUAUGAUAUGAACGAUGUUGGUUUCACUUGAUAUAAAUAAGUUUGAUCUAAUUGUUAUGCAUGAUGUUGAUUACACUUGUUAUGAUAAUGUAUGAGGUAAAAGACAAUGCUUAUGGUCUCUUUGCUAGUUUAAUUUUUCUGUUUUUUAUUCUAUCUAUGAUGCGAUGAUGUAUGCUAAGGGCUUGUCUAAGGCCUCUUCGAGGAUGAAGAAGCCGGUUACGACUAGGGGGUUCUCUCUAAUUAUGACACCUGGUGACAUCCAACGCAUGACCAUGAGCAGGUCAACAGAUUGUUAACCCUAUCACGAUCCGUGAACCCUGCCAUGUUUAACUGUUUCAAGUAGUUUUUCCAUAAUUUUUUUUCUGGGUCUGCUUUUUGAGGUGUUCCAUUAUCUCCCCCUUGGGAUCAUUCAUCCUCGAAUAAAGACUAUACUAGCGAAAAUGGAGGGAAGCUGCAAACCCUACCACUAAACACUUAGCACUUAAUUUCUGACUAAAUUGAGUUCCAAAACACGAAAAUAUGCUGAAAAUGCUAUUAUGAACUGAAGGAACUAGAUACUAAGACAGAUUUUUUGCAUGAAUAAAUGAAAAACUAAAGAGAAACUAUUACUCAAAUGGAGUGGAAUCGGAAAGAAAGAGGUGAUGUUACUUUGACUUCAUGGUUGCUUCUACUUUCCAAGUAGCUCUCUCUAUGGAUUGACUCCUCCAAAAAACCUUGACUGAAGCGACUUAUUUGUUUCUCAAUAUCCUUACCCAAUGAUCAAGAAUCUUAAAUAUUAAAAUCCCAUAAGAAAGACUAUUUUUCAUAAACACACUCUCUAAUGGCACUAAGGAUACGGGAUCACCCAUGCACUUCUUCAACAGUCAGAUAUGGAAGACUGGAUGCACUACUACGAAUUCUACUAGCAACUCUGACUUAUAUGCCAUUUCACCUAUCCGUUUCAAGAUCUCUUAAGGGCCUACAUAUCUGGGAUUGAGCUUCCAUUUCUUUCCAAAUAUCAUUAUCUUUUUCUUAAGUGAUACUUUCAAGAAAACUCAAUCAUUAACUUGGAACUCUAGUUCCCUUCUCCUUACAUCUACAUAAGAAUUCAGGCGACUUUGGGAUAUCUUAAGCUUAUCUCUAAGGAGUUGAAAUUUUCCAUAGCAUAAUGGACUGAAUCUGUCCCUAUCAAGACUGAUUCACCUACUUCAAAACAACCAACAUAAUAUCUACUUUUAUGCCCAUACAAUGCCUCAUAAGAGGCCAUAUGAAUGCUAGAAUGGUAGUUAAUAUAGUAGGCAAACUCUAUAAGAGAAAGGUGAUCAUCCCAACUACCUUUGAAAUCGAUCAUGUAAGCUCCCAACAUGUCCUCUAAGGUAUUAAUGGUACGCACUGCUUGACCAUUCGUUUGUGGAUGAAAUAUUGUGCUAAGAUUAAGUUGAGUACCGAGAUAGAUUAACUUGAGUACAAAGACAUUUCUGAAUUGACUUCCUCAAAUGAGAGGUAAAUUGAGGACCUCUAUAUGAGAUGAUAGAGAAAGGAACACCAUGUAACAUGACUAUCUCAUUAAUGUAAAGCUUGACGUACUCCUCCGUUGAAUCUAUAGUCUUGACCGCCAAAAGCGAGAAGACUUAGUAACUCUAUCAACUAUAACCCAAAAUGGAGUCAUGUUGUAUGUGAGUAUGAGGUAAACCCGUAAUGCAAUCUAUGUUAAUCACUUCCCACUUCCAAGUAGGAAUGUCGAUAUAUGGAGUCAUACCCUAUAAUUUCUAAUGUUCUACUUUCACUUUUAACAAUUAGGGAACUUAGCCACAAAAUCUGCUAUAUCCCUUUUCAUACAAUUUCGCCAAUAGACUUCCCACAUAUCGUGGUACAUCUUAGUGGAGAUUGGAUGAAUAGAAUACCUGGAAUUAGGGGUUUCUAAAAGAAUAUGUUGUCUACUCGCCCACAUUAUGAACACAUAGUCGACUCACAAAAAACACCAUCUCUACCUUGGGAGAAUACCUGAAGUCUCCAUUGAUGGACUGCACCCUUUAGUUUGACUAAUACCAUACACUGUCUUUAUUUUCCUCAACCUCCACUACCGAUAAAGAUUCAGAUCCGUUUUAAACUUCCCACCACCAUCUGAUAUGAUCAUAAGACAAACUCUUAAACGAUCAAGCAUGUGAACUUCCUUUGCUAAAUCUUUGAUUUCUUCCUAAACAUGUGCUACACUACCUAUAUAUAAUUUGCUAAGGGCAUAUGCUAUUACAUUUGUCUUACAAGGAUGGUAAUUCACACUCAUGUCAUAAUCUUUGAGGAACUCAAACCCUCUUUUCUAGCGAAGAUUCAACUGUUUCUAGGUGAACUCAUAUUCAAGGCUCUUAUGGUAUGUGAAAACAUCUACAUGAACACCAUACAUGUAGUGUCUCAAUAUCUUGAGUCCAAACACUAUUGCUGCAAGCUCAAGGUCAUGAAUUAGGUAAUUCUUCUCAUACACGUUAAGUUGUUUAGAACCAUAAGCUACAAUCUUACCUCACUGCAUUAACACAAAACCUAGGCUGACAAUGGAUGCAUCAAAAUCAUAUAACCAUCUGAACCCUCUGGUAGAGUCAAAAUAGGAGUUGUAUUCAACCUAGUUUUCAAUUCUGCAAAGCUCUUCUUAUAAUCAUCUUUCCACUGAAACUUGAUCUUUUUCUGAGUCAACUUAGGCAGUUAAGAGUUUAUGGAUGAAAAUCCUUCCACGAACCUUCCAUAAUAACCCGCUAGACCCAAGAAACUUCUGAUGUCUGUACAAAAGGUAGGUUUAGGCCAUUGUAUCAUUCUUCCUAAUUUAUAGGAAUCCACUCGAAUCCCUUCGCUGGAUUCAAUAUGCCCAAGGAAAGGUAGUGACUAUAAACCUAAACUCACACUUAUUAAAUUUUGUAAAAUAAAUGACGAUCUUUGAGAAUUUGACGAAACAAGUCAAAAAUGACUUGCAUGUUCUUCCUCAUUCUUAGAGUAAAUGACGAUAUCAUCAAUAAAGACGAUAAUGAACAAGUCCAAAUACUGCUUGCACACUCUGUUCAUCAAAUCCAUGAAAGUUGCAAGAGCAUUGGUUGGUCCAAAUGACAUUACUACAAAUUCAUAAUGACCAUAUCGUGUUUUGAAGGUUGUCUUCGGAAUGUACCUAUCUUUGACUUUGAGAUAAUGAUAACCUGAUCUGAGGUCUAUCUUUGAGAAAUUGCUAGCACCCUAAAGAUGGUCAAACAAGUCAUCUUUCCUAGGGAUGGAUACCUAUUCUUGAUUGUGACCUCGUUCAACUUCCUAUAGUCAAUGUACAUUCGGAGAAAACCAUAUUUCUUCUUCAUGAACAAUAUUGGUGCACUGCAUAAAGAAAUACUAGGUCUUAUGAAGCUCUUAUAUAGAAGGUUUUUCAAUUUCUCUUUCAAUUCCUUAAGCUCUGCUGGAGCCAUUCUUUAAGGAGGAAUAAAAAUAGGUUUGGUGUCCAAAAGGAGAUCAAUUCCAAAAUCGAUUUCCCUUUCGAGAGAAACUCCAAGAAGAUCUUCUGGAAACUAAUAAACCACUAAAAGUGACUCAAGAGUUUUUAUUUUGGAUAUUGAAUCCUUGACCCUAACUAGAUGAUAGAGACAACCCUUAGAAAUCAUUUUUCUAGCUUUAAGGUAAGAAAUGAAUCGAGCCAUAGGCGCUAAGAUACUACCCUUGCAUUCUAAGAUUAGUUAGUCCAGAAAUUGAAAAUGAAAAAUCCUAGUUCUACAAUAUUUCAUGACCCAGACGAGACCGGCAUCGUUAACCUCUCAGAGUUCGCAGACAAGCCUACUUACGUCAUUGUUACUUCAUCUAGGUUAAUUUUAGCAGAAAAUUUGAAUAUUUUUACUUAUUUCAUAUGAAACAUAUUCUAAUUAACAUCAUAGGCGUUCACAAUCAAUCAUCUAAUAUUAAUAUCGUCAAAUGAAAGAAAUAGUUCAAUAAUAAACUAAAUGUAAACUUGCAAAAACGACACCAAUACAAUGUCUGAAAUAAUAUGGGAAAGAAACGCUAGUUAAACAUACUCCACUAGCUAAAACCUACAUCUAAGAUAGAUGAUAAUAGAAUACAUCCUCGAAAGCAUGAGGGCCUACCAAGUACAGAUGAAUGCUCCACGUUCGGAUAGCUAAAGCAUCAUUUCGUAAGCUCUAACGUCCGCCUAUGCCUGCACCUAAAAGUACAGAGUUGUACGGGAUAAGUACACACUUGUACUAAGUAUGGGUAUAUGCAAGCACACACCAAGGACAUACAUGAUUAAGAAAAUCUCUCUCCUAACGAUAUGAAUUAUGGAAAGUCAAGUCAGUGGACUUGCCAAAUUCAAAUUAGGAAAGUCAUGCCAUGAGAGUAACCCGCAUCAUCAUACUUAUCAUUUCGCAAAUAGCGCAUAAUAUAUUGCAAAUAUCAUAUCACAUAGUUCAUAUCAUUCUUUCAUAUGCCAUGAGACCUUUGAAUUAUGAACUUGACAUUAGGACUUCCAAAAAUGAGGGCUCAACAUAUGGGACCUCAAUUAGGGAGCCUUCUUUAGCAAACACAGAGUCUGCUUCAUUCAUUCGUACGUACUUCAUUUUAAUUCUUUCAUGUACUAGUUCAACCACCAGUCAUACCUAGGAUGUAGUUUAAGACUGUCAUCGGGUUCGUUGUGCAAUGACCAAGAAUAACCUAGUGUCAUUACUUAAUUUUAGCUCACCUCUUGAUUAUCCUAUCCUAACACCUUUGGUAUCGUUCAUUUCAUUGUGUAUUCUUUAAGGCUCUCCUCAUUCUUUCUUCGAGAACUAUAAACUUAAUGGACAUAGAUCAUGUGAGCAUCAUAAAAUCCAGUGUAUUCCCCACACCAAAAAGAGGUGGAAUCACCGGCAAAAGUGACCUAACAUGCUAGUUUAUAUGGGGAUUCGAACCCUGCUAGAUCCCUAUAUCGGCAAUAGAGGUUCAAAGACUAGGAUAUAUAAGGAGACCCAUACCCGGCAUGCCGGACAGUCUCAUCUCAUGAUAUUUACGUGAACCUCCGCCCUUCCCGAAGGAAGGCAUCACCACUCAUAGUUAGCCUAUCCGUGCUUAGUAUAAAGUUCCAUUACAUUCAACUCAUACAUCAUGGAAGUUGGCUUCUAGCAUGAUGACUUCAUAGAUCAUAAGAUGAUUUCUCAUCUCAUCAUUAGUAAUAAGUAUGCAUUAACUUCAAUACUUUCAUUAGAGUGUUCAUAGAGACUGGUCUCUUCAUUAACUUCACAGUCUUAUAGGUGAGUACAUCUUGGUAACAUUUACUUAGGCUCAUUUGAGAUUCCUCUCACCUUUCGCUUUAGCCUCUUAUCAUGUUGUCAACACAUCCUUUAACUUUAUCACAUUAACUCUUCAAAAGUACUCAUCACUUUAUGUAAAUGUUCUUUUCAUCAUAUGCCAAUGCACUUAAGCUUUUAAUGUGUUUCACACUCUUACUUAAUCCUUCUGGGGUCUCAUCAUUCAUCACAUAACAUCUUAGGAUCACUUUCGUUAUAAUGUAUGUUGGACUUAUGAGUCCACACACACAAGUCAUGAGGCUUCAUUCAUAGUUUAUUUAAGCAAUUCAUAUUGCCCAAGAUUAUGUGUUACAAGACAUAUGUAUCAUGUAAGUAUGCCAAGGUCUCAAUUUGAUUCCUAUCGGCAGCAUUCAUUAAGUAUUUUAUCACGUAAGACUUAUGUGUCAAUACGGAAUUGGGCAAGGGAACCCAAUUUUGAAUCCCUUGAGUAAAACUUAAGCUUAUAGUAAACUUUAUAAUUGCAUUUUUCAGAUUUGGGGGACCCUAGUUCUAUAUCCAUCACUCCCAUAAUAUUUUCCUAUCUUUUUCGUUUAAGGCAAGGAGGUUGUGGUAUCAAUCCCCCACAAGAUCAGUAUUUUUAUUUUAAUUUACCUCUUAACUUUCUCACCUAUCCAAGAGGUUGUAAAUUCAAUCCCCACUUACCACAUUUAUUUUUCCUCCUUUUAUUUUUCUCCUAACUCUCUCAUCUAUUCAAGAGGUUGUGUAUUCAAUCCCCAGUCACUACAUCUAUUUUUCCUUCUUUAAUUUUCUCCUAACUCUCUCAUCUAUUCAAGAAGUUGUGGGUUUAAUCCCCACUCACCACAUAUAUUUUUUUCUCCUAACUCUCUCAUCUACCAAGAGGUUGUGGUUCGAAUCCCCACAGCCUCACCUUUUUUUAAUUUACAUUUUCUCCUUACCUCCUCAUUUUGCAAAGAUGCUGUAGGUUCGAAUCCCACAUACCUCAUUUUUAUUAUUUCUUUAUUUCAUUUUUCUCCUCUCUCUCUUUCAUCCGUCCAAGAGGUUGUGGGUUGGAACCCCACAUGCCUCACUUCAUUUUCUUUCAUUUUCCCCCUAACUUUUUACUUGAGUUUUUCCCCAUUUCGAAUACCCCUUACCACAUUUUAUUAUUUAACUUUUUAUAACAUGUAUAUGGUGAGGUCUUGGGUUCAAUCCCCACUGACUAAGCAUUUAAAAAAUAUAUUAGAACGUGAUUUUUUUUUACAAUAAGCUGCCCAAUAACAAACCUCCAGAAUGCUAGACAUUUGUUCACCCUCUUUGCCUUUUAUUUUCUCAACGUUUUGAUGUUAGAUUUAGGAUAAAUUUUCGUGUAACAUCUAGUGCAUCUUUAGGUGAUUUUUCAUGGUUAUUUUUGAGAAUUUAAUCACCUUUUUCAGUCUAUGUUAUCACCCUCGUUCACGUUAAACAUCAAGACAUUUUGAGUAGUUUUUAGGGAGAUCUUUACGUGCAUUUUCAAGGUUACUUUCAAUCAAGAAUUAUCAUUCAAUUCAGGAACUUUGAACUCAUAUGAACAUCACUUUUUUAACAUAUUAAUAUACGUAAAAUACAACAUAUUUACAUGUAAAAAUCUAUACUUCAAACCUUUGCUAACUCACGGCACACACAUGCACAAUCAAGUUAACGUAAUUCACUUUUUCGGAACACAUCUACUAUUUCUCACAUAAUUUCUGAAUACACAUUCAAACACGUAAUCACAACCAGACCUCAAAUCAUUUACCAGAAGUCAUACCAAUGCAUACUUUAAAUCUUUCAAAGGAUCUAAUGACAGGGGAAUCAACGGAGACAACCUUAGUUUUUUUUUUAAUGGAAUAAAGCUGAAUUUAGGGGUCUCUUGGGAAAGGGACCAAGAGAGAAGAACAGUCCUACUUAAUGUCGUUCAAAACUUAUUUAAAGCUUCCAAUUUACCACGAAACCAAGUCUCACCACCGAAACAUCAAGCACAAUCCCAUCAAGAACUUUGUUUUGUGUUACGUUUGUAGACUAUAUUUUCUUUUGAGUUCUUUUUUAGCAUUCAAGUUCUUGAUGAACUUCAUAUUUUGUUGUUCUAUUCUUUUAGAGAAAAAUCGUACGUUCAAGUGAGAUGAGAGUAGAGUGAAACGUGAGCUUGAGUGGAUUGGCAUCAGGAGAGUUAGGUGGAGACUUAGUCAAACUAUAACUCCUCAUUAUUUAUUAUUAUUAUUAUUAUUAUUAUUAUUAUUAUCUUUUUUAUUAAAAAUCUGAUUCUCCUUUAAUUAAAUCAGCAAUUCAAAUAUUAAUAACUUUUAAUUAAUUCACUAAAUAUAAUAAAUUAAUUAAAUCAUUGCUCCCACAAAGGCUCGAACCCGGGUGGAGCAAGAUUUCGCUCAAAGGGUAAAUUUCGGCACUCUCUACCCGAAUUGCCGCUCCACUAUAUUAAUUAAAUAAUUAAUAAAUAUUUAGGGUAAUUACGAUACUACCCUUAUCCUGGAAAGAGAGCAUUUUACCCCUGGAAAAAAACCAUUUUACCAAACUUAAGAUUUCCCCUUUUUAAGUCCGGUAAAGACUCAUACGGGUAAACCUUCAUAUUCGGGUGCCCUACAUGGCUGGACCCAACCUUUCCUAGCUCAACUAACUCACCUAGUUAGUUGGCUUGGCUGUUGCAGAGGUUCAGAGUUCUGUUUCAACGCGCAUCAAUCCGUGUGAACCCGAUCUAAUCGUAGCCAUUCUAGACACAUUAAACAAUACUUAGCAUAUCCAUUUUUAGGGUUGUUAUAUUCCCCCCCACCCUAGGAACAUUCGUCCCCGAAUGACACUUUUUAUAAUCUAGCAUAACUCCAGUUAUAUCAUAAUCAUAACAUAGGUAUUAUACAGAGUCAGGCAAUAACAACCAGGAAUGGAGGAGUUAAGGAACUUAGACUUAAGAGCAGAAAAUCUAACCUCAAGAGCUGAAGAGAUGAGGGUAAAGGGAUCUCAUAUCGGCCUCGGUCUCCCACAUAGAACCCUCAACAAGAUGGUUCCUCCAUAAUACCUUCACUGUGGUAAGCUCCUUGUUUCUUAGCCGCUUUACCUGCCGAUCUAAAAUCUCAACAGGAACCUCCUCAUAGGACAAGUCUUCAUCAACUCCCAAACCUUCUACAGGCAGAAUCGAUGAUGGAUCACCAAGGUACUUCUUUAACAUAGAGACAUGAAAAACUUGUUGAACAGAAGCUAGCUCCGCAGGAAAUGCCAACUCAUUGGCCAUCUCACCCACACGAUGUAGGAUCUCAUAUGGCUCAACAUACCUCAGACUCAACUUCCCCUUCCUCAUCACCCCCUUCAUAGGUGAUAUCUUCAAAUCGACCUGGUCACCAACAUUAAACUCUAAGGUUCAUUUUCUGUUGUCUGCAUAAGACUUCUGCCAACUGUACACAGCAACCAACCUGUCCCUAAUCACCCUGACCUUCUCUAAGGCCUCAUGAAUUAUCUCUGGACCCAAAAUGGAUGACUCUCUAACCUCGAACCACCCAACUGAAGACCUACACCUUCUACCAUACAGUGCCUCAAAUGGCCCCAUCCCAAUACUGAGUGAUAACUGUUAACAAAUGAGAACUCUAUCAAAGGCAGAUGGUCGUCCCAACUACCUCUGAAGUCAAUCACACACGCUCUCAGCAUGUCCUCCAAUGUCUGAAUGGUGCGCUCUGCCUGCUCAUCGGUGUGAGGAUGAAAGACAGUACUAAGCUUUACCAGCGUGCUUAAGUUCUUCUGGAAGGAUCUCCAAAAUUGUGAAGUGAACAGAGCUCCACUAUAUCAAUGAUAGACAAAUGAAUCCCAUGCCAUCUCACAAUCUCAUCAAUGUAGAGUCUUGCAUAAUCCUUGGCUCUGUAAGUUGACUUCACAGGGAUAAAGUUGGCAGACGUAGUCAUCAUGUCCACAAUAAACCAUAUGGAAUCAUGUUUUCUUCUAGUCUUCUGAACACCAACCACGAAGUCCAUAUUAAUGGCCUCCCACUUUAAAGUCAGAACCUCGAUUAUCUGAGUAAGACUGUCAGGCUUAAGUUGUUCUGUCUUGACCUAUUGACAAUGAGGUUACUUGGCCACAUAUUCAGCAAUGUCCUUCUUUAUGCCAUCCGACCAAUAGAUCUGCUUAAGGUCAUGAUAUAUCUUGGUGGAACCUGGAUGUAUCGAAUAUAUGGAACCAUGGGCCUCUGGAAUAAUUUUGGUCCACAAAUCAUCCACAUUAAGUACACACAACAUGUCUUGGUACCUAAGUUUGUCAUCACCUCCCAAAACAAAAGACUCAUUCAUCUUUACCAACAGUCCUUCAACUACAUCAACACCAGAUCAAGAUGUUGACCCUUCUUGACUUCAAAUACAAAGUAUGAUUCAGAACAAGGAUGAACUGAAAAACCCCCACUAGUAGAGUCAACCAACCGCACACCCAGUCUGGCCAGUUGUGUACAUAUUUCACCAACUCCUUCGUCUCAUCCUCAACGUGGGUUGUACUUCCAAUGUUCAUCCUACUCAAAGCAUCAGCGACAACAUCAGCCUUACCCCUUUGGUAGUGGACAUUCAUGUCAUAGUCCUUCAACAGCACCAACCACCUCCGCUGACGUAGAUUCAACUCCCUCUAUGUGAACAAGAACUGGAGACUUUUGUGGUCUGUGAACACAUCCAUAUGCACUCUAUACAAAUAGUGUCUGUACAGUUUCAGUGCAAACACCACAACUUCCAACUCCAGGUCAUGAGUGGGAUAAUUAUUUUCAUAAACCUUGAGAUUUCUCGACGCAUAGGUUAUCACCUUACCAGCCUGCAUAAGAACAUUUAGGCAAAGUAAGCACUGGGUUGAAGUGAGUUUGUUCUUGAGCUCAUGGAAACUCUUCUCACAAGUCUCUGCCUUUUAAAGCUUGACUUUCUUCUUCGUCAAAGAUGUGAGUGGGGAAGCAAUGAAAGAAAAACCUCCAUGAACCUGCGAUAAUAACCAGCCAAUGCCAAGAAGCUACGGAUAUCUGUGGGAGUAAGAGGUUUUGGCCAAUUCUUAACAACCUAAGUCUUCCUGGGAUCUACCUCCACACCUUUGUCGGACACAACAUGACCCAGGAUGGUCACUGAUCUAAGCCAGAAUUCACACUUGCUGAAUUUGGCAUAUAACUAAUGUUGUCUAAGUACCAGCAAGGUUAGUCUCGAAUGUUGUUCAUGCUCUUCCUUGGUCAUAGAAUAGAUGAGAAUGUCAUCAAUUAAUACUAUGACGAAAGAGUCAAGGUAUUCACAGAUGACUCUGUUCAUGAUAUCCAUAAAUGUAGCAGGUGAAGUACUGAGACAAAAUGACAUAACUAGAAACUCGUAAUGACCAUACAGGGUAUGAAAGGCUGUCUUAGGAAUAUCUUUAUCCCUAACCCUAAGUUAAUGGUACCCUGAACAAAGAUCAAUCUUCGAGAAGAAACUAGACCCUUGGAUAAACUUGACUCCCCUUGGUGGGAGAGACCCUUCUUAAACCUGGUCAUAUCCCUGAUUUCAAUACUACUCUUACUUGAAAAAUUCUUCUCAACUUGCCUUGACCUGUUCCCGGCCCUAGUAUGCUUCUUCUUCCUGCUUUCCUCCACUUGUUGCACAUGGACCAUAAGCCUGGAAAGGUCCAUGCCAUCAUGCAGCAUAGAUUCCCUACACUCCUCCUAGAGAUCCUCAACAAUCUUAGAUCCAAUGUAAACGGAAGGACUCACACUUGUGAAGUCCCUUAAUUUGCUAGCCAUGGUGCUGGAAGGUGGGUUCUCCCUGGGCACACCUUGUUGCUCCGCCUGGGUUGUCAUAGCAUGAGCUUGUAAAGUGAUGGCUUGGGCCAUCUGUACCAAGCUUCUCCUCACUUCUCCAACUGUCAACCUAGUUGGGUUAACAGGCAUCCUCAUUCCAGCAGCUGGAACCUAGGGAGGAACUUGAUUUACCCAAGAACCUUCUCCUCCAAUCUCUCUUCCUGCGUUUCUCCUCGUAUUUAUCAUUCUAAAUCUCAAGAGUUGAUGUUAGAUACACUCUUAACACCAAGAAAUCAGACAUUAGAGAAGGCAUGAUAAGAUCAGAAGAAGGGAAUUUUUUUCUUAUGCUCAUGCACUCUCUAAUUCAGGAUAGUGGUGCACUUCACUACCAUCACUUAGAAACUACUCAAUGUGGUUGAUGUGAACUUAUUAUCCUCAGAAUUUAACCUAGGUCUCUGAUACCAACUUUUUCACAAUCGGAGUCUAGACCAAGACGAGACCGGUGUCGUUGACCGCUUAGAGAUCGCAGACAAGGCUACUUACAUCACGUUACUUCAUCUAGGUUAAUUUUAGCGGAAAAUUUGAACUUUUUGUUUACUUAUUUCAUAUGAAACAUAUUCUACUUAACAUCAUAGGAUUUCACAAUCAACCAUCUAAUAUUAAGAUCAUCAAAUGAAAGAAACAGUUUAAUAAUGGAUUAAAUGUAAACUUGCCAAAACGACACCAAAACAUUGUCUGAAAUAAUAUGGGAAAGAAACGCUAGUGGAACAUACUCCACUAGCUAAAACUACAUCCAUGAAAGCAUGAGGGCCUACCAAGUCCAGAUUAAUACACCACGUCUGGAUAGUUGUAGCGUCGUAUCAUAAGCUCGAGCGUUCGCCAUUGCCUGCACCUAAAAGUAUAUAGUUGUAUGGGAUUAGUACACACCUGUACUAAGUAUGGGUAUAUGUAAGCACACACCAAGGACAUGCAUCAUUAAGAAGAGCUCUCUCCUAACGAUAUUAAUUAUGGAAAGUCAAGUUAGUGGACUUGCCAAAUUUGGAUUAGGAUCAUUUUGCAAACAACACAUAACAUAUUGCACAUAUCAUAUCACAUAGUUCAUAUCAUUUUUUCAUAUGCUAUCAGACCUUGGAAUCAUGGACUUGACAAUAAGACUUCCCAAAAGGAGGGUUCAAUAUAUGGGACUUCAACUAGUAAGCCUUCUUAGCAAACACAUAGUCUACUUCAUUCAUUCAUACGUACUUCAUUUUAUUCUUUCAUAUAAUUUUUCAACCACAAGUCAUACCUAGGAUGCAGUUUACGACUCUCAUCGGAUUUGUUGUACAAUGACAAAGAAUAACCUAGUGUCACUAUUUUAGUCUAGCUCACCUCUUGAUUAUCAUAUCCUAACAACUUUGGUAUCGAUCAUUUUGAUUAUGUGUAUUCUCUAAGGCUGGCCUCAUUCUUUCUUUGGGAACUUUAACCUUAAGCGACAUAGAUCAUGUGAGCAUCAUGAAAUCCAGUGUCUACCCGACACCGAAAAGAGGUGGAAUCACCGGCAAAAGCGACCCGAUCAUGCUAGAUAUAGAAAGUCGAACUCUGCUAGAUCCCUAUAUUGGCAAUAUAGGUUCAAAGACUAGGAUAUAUAAGGAGACCCAAAACUGGCAUGCCGGAAAGUCUCAUCUCAUGAGAUUUACGUGAACCUCCGCCCUUCCCAAAGGAAGGCAUCACCACUCAUAGCUAGCCUAUCGGUGCUUAGUAUAAAGUUCCGUUGCAUUCAACUCAUACAUCAUGGAAGUUAACUUCUAGUAUGAGGACAUCAAAGCUCAUGAGAUUCCUCUAUUAUUUUACCUUAGCCUCUUAUCAUGUUUUCACCACAUUCUUUAACUUUAGCACAUCAACUCUUCAUAAGUACUCAACGCUUUACGUGAUUGUUCUUUUCAUCAUAUGCCAAUGCACUUGGCCUUUUUAGUGUGUUUCACACUCAUACUUAACCCUUCUGGGGUCUCAUCAUUCAUCAUAUAAAAUCUUAGGUUCACUUUCUUUAUAAUGUAUGUUGGACUUAUGAGUCCACACACACAAGGCAUGAGGCUUCAUAUUGUUCAUUUAAGCGAUUCAUAUUGCCCAAGAUUAUGUGGUACAAGACUUAUGCAUCUAGUAAGUAUGCGAAGGUCUCAAUUUUAUUCUUACGGGAAGCAUUCAUUAAGUAUUUAGUCACGUAAGAAUUAUGUGUCAAUACGGAAUUGGGCAAGGAAACCCGAUUUCGAAUCCCUUGAGUAACACUUAAGCUUAUUGUAAACUUGAUAAUUGCAUUAUUCAGAUUUGGGGGACCCUAGUUUGAUUCCAUCACUCCCAUAAUAUUUUCCUUUCUUUUUCUCCUUUCUUUUUCGUUUAAGGCAAGGAGAUUGUGGGAUCAAUCCCCUAAAAGCUCAUUCUUUUUCUUUUGAUUUAACUCUUAACUUUCUCACUUAUCUAAGAGGUUGUGGGUUCAAUACCCACUCACCAAAUUUAUUUUUCCUCCUUUAUUUUUGUUCUAACUCUCUCAUCUAUUCAAGAGGUUGUGGGUUUAAUCCCCACUCACUACAUCUAUUUUUCCUCCUUUAUUUUUCUGUAUUCUUUCUCACCUAUUCAAGAGGUUGUAGGUUCGAAUCCCCAUAGCCUAACCUUAUUUUAAUUUACAUUUUCUCCUUACUUUCACAUUCUGCCAAGAGGUUGUGGGUUCUAAUCCCACAUACCUCACUUUUAUUAUUUAUUUAUUUAUUUCAUUCUUCUCCUCUGUCUUUCAUCCCUCCAAGAGGUUGUCGGUUCGAACCCCACAUGCCUCACUUCAUUUUCUUUCAUUUCCCCCCUAACUUUUCUCUUGAGAUUUACCCCAUUUUGAAUACCCCUUAACACAUUUUGUUAUUUAAUUUUCUUAUGACAUGUGUAUGGCGAGGUCUUGGGUUACAUCCCCACUGACCUCAAGCAUUUAAAAAAGUAUUUUAGAAUGUGAUUUAUUUUUGUUGCAGUAAGCUGCCCAAAAACAAACUUCAAGAAUGCUGGAAAUUUGUUCACCCUCUUUGCAUUCCGUUUCCUCAACGUUUAGAUGUUGGAUUUAGGAUAAAUUUUCAGGUAACAUCUACGGAAUCUUUAGGUGAGUUUUCAUGGUUAUUCUUGAGAAAUAAAUAACCUUUUUGCAGUCCAUUUUCUCACCCUCUUUCAUGUUAAACAUUAAGACAUUUCGAGUAGUUCUUAGGGAGAUCUUUAGGUGCAUUUUCAAGGCUACUUUCAAUCAAGAAUUAUCAUUCAAUUUAUCAACAUUGAACUCAUAUGAACAUCACAUUUUUAAUAUAUUCAUAUAUGUAAAAUACAACAUUUUAACAUGUAAAAAUCCAGACUUCAAACCAUGGCUAACUCACGGCACACACAUGCACAAUCAAGUUAACGUAAUUCACUUUUUUCGAAACACAUUUUUCAUUUCUCACAUAAUUUCGGAAUACACAUUCAAACACGUAAUAACAACCAGUCCUAAAAUCAUCUACCAUAAGUCAUAUCAAUGCAUACUAUAAAUCUUUCAAAGGAUCUAAUGAAAGGGGCAUGCAAUGGGGAUAACCUUAGUUUUUUUUUUUAACUGGAAUUAAGCUGAACUUAGGGGUCUCUUGGGAAAGAUACCAAGAGAUAAGAAAACGCAUAUCUUAAUGUCGUUAAAAACAUGUUUAAAUGUGGAAAAUUUACCACAAAACCAAGCCUCACCACCGAAAGUUCAAGCACAAUCCCGUCAAGAACUUUUUUUUGCUUUAUGUUUUUAGACUAAAUUUUCUUUUGAGUGUUUUUUUAGCGUACAAGUUCUUGUUGAACUUUACAUUUUGUUUAUCUAUUCUUUUAGAGAAAAAUCAUAUGUUCAAGUGAGAUGAGAGUAUAGUGAAACGUGAGUUUGAGUGGAUUGGGAGUAGGAGAGUUAGGUGGAGACUUAGUCAAUGUAUAACUCCUCAUUAUUUAUUUAUUUAUUUAUUUAUUAUUAUUAUUAUUAUUAUUAUUAUUAUUAUCUUUUUUAUUAUAAACUGAUUCUCCUUUAAUUAAAUCAGCAGUUCAAAUAUUAAUUAAUUUAAUUAAUUCACCAAAUAUAAUAAAUUAAUUAAAUCAUUGCACCCAUCAAGGCUCGAACCCGGGUGGAUCAAGAUUUCGCUCAAAGGGUCAAUUUAGGCCCUCUCUACCCGAAUUGCCCCUCCACCAUAUUAAUUAAAUAAUUAAAUAAAUAUUUAGGGUAAUUAAGAUACUACCCUCAGCCUGGAAAAAGACCAUUUUAUCCCUAGACCCUCCAAACUUAAGAUUUCCCCUUUUUAGGUCCAGUAAAGACUCAUCCGGGUAAACCUUCAUAUUCGGGUGCCCUACAUGGAUGGACCCAACCUUUCCUAGCUCAACUAACUCACCAAGUUAGUUGUCUUGGUUGUUGCAAAGGUUCAGAGGUCUGGUUCUACGCGCAUCAAUCCGUGUGAACCCGGUCUAAUCGUAGGCAUUCUAGACACAUUAAGCAUUAGUUAGCAUAUCAAUUUUUAGGUUUUUUAUACAAUAGACUGAGGCAUAACUAGAAUGUAAUCAAUUCAUGACUAGAAUGACAUCAAAGUCUAUCAUUUCUAACUUCAUAAGAUUUUUUUAGGUGACUUUCUAGGCAAAUGUGACAGGCCAAUUUCUAUAUACCCGUCCAGGAAUAAUUGGGUCACUAACUGGAGUAGAGACCGAGAAAGGUUAUUUGGAUCAUUGAGUGGAGUAGAGACUGAGAAAGGUUCUCAAAGGGUUUCUGGACUAUUAUCAAACUUGACUUCUAUAUAAGGAGUUAGGAAGGAGAGAGUAGACCAUGAAUCUAACAAUGCAUAAAUAUAAAUAUACCAGUUACUACAUCAGGGGAAUCUUCUUGAUCAUAUCAAGCUAGAAGAGCAUAAAUCCUUUUUAAGUGUUGUCUGCCACCUGUACUAGAUGAGUUAUCCUGUUGAGUCAGGUGAUUUGUUGGUGCUGCUAAAGUCGUGGACCGACCUUUACCGGCAUUUCCUUCUUGACCCUGUUUAGAAGGAUAAUCCCUCAACUUGCGACCAGACUAACCACAUCCAAAGCAUCCUUUUUUUCAUGCAAGGCACUUUCCCAGAUGGUUCUUACCAUACUUAGAGAAAGUUGGGUAGCUUUUGGUACCCGAAACACUUCCCUAAGACUUAGAUCAUGAUGCCCUGAUACGCUCAAACUUACUUCUCAAAUGAGAAGUAAAGCGGUCGCGUCAAGUAAAUAACCCAACUAGUGAGGUUGGGAUCGUUCCCACGAGGAAAAUAGUCUAGACUUAACUCCAACUUGUUAUUACUAUUGUUUGGUUGAUGACUUCCUUAAAAAGUAAAAGCAUAAAAGGGGGGUUUUGUACUUCCUAAUAAAAUAAAAAAUAACUAACGAACUUGACAGAGACACUUAACAGCUUUUAAUGUUGAGUUUUAAUCAAGUAAUCAAAGUAACUAGGGUUUACGUGUUCCCCACAGGUUCAUAACUUGAUAAUUCUAGCUAUAACAAUUCUUUCCUAGUAUCUUGCAUGCAAAGUGAUAAGCUAUGUAUUUCUAAAUCCUUGGUCCGGCAUCUAGAAAAUCUCACUCCGCACCUUGGUCCGGCUACGUGUGUUGCUUUCCUAACCCUUAUCCUUACCUCAUAUUAAGCAUCAUAUUCGAUAUUUGACUCAGUUAUUACCUCGUACCAAUCAAUACCGGCCUAUUAGAUAGUAUACACUAAAUCUAUGUUAAUAAUUCUUUUCCUAUCAUCUACCUCCUUGGUCCGGCAAGUAGCAUUAAGGCGAGUUCUAACGUUGAUCAUCCGUUAAAAAGAUUUCUAAGCGAAAGAAUUAUUAAUACAUGCAAGACACUAUUCUAGAAUUGUUAUUUUAGCUAGGGUUUAUCUCAUUAUUUGCCUAUGGUUCCCGCAACCCUAGUUAUAGAGUUUAGUUCCUCAUAUCCAUAAACACAAUAUUCAAAUAUAUUAAACAAGAAGUCAUGUACUUACUUUGAUGAGAAAGAAUAAAGUCUGAAAAUUUGCUUGAUUAAUCAACAAGAGUUACUUGUAAGAAUCUCCAACAAUCAAAAGCUUAGAAAAACAAAGUCUAAUAAUAUGAUCUUAAAUCUCCCAGAGUCUAACCUCAAAAACGAGGUUUUUCGAACUAUUUAUAAAAAAAUAAAAACCUAAUUAAACAAGGAUUCUAAUUACUGGAAAUCUGCCAAAACGCGGCUGGGUCGACGGACCACGCGACGGAACGUCGUGGUCAUGACGGACCGUCGUGGGCUCCGUCGCCCCAUACUUGGGUGCAAUUCUUCUGCUGCUUUCUUCAUUCCCCUCGACGGCAAGUGUGACGGACUGUCACAGGCACGACGGUCCAUCGAGGGUCUUCGUUACAAAAUACUUCAACUUUUGGAAUUUGGGUACUGGGAUCACUUCUCUGAUCUUCGCGAAGAACCUGCAGGACGCACCGUCAUAUCCAUGACGGACCGUCACAAGCUUCAUAAUCCCACACUUAGUCAGACUUCCCCAUCUUCCUUCAGCAGCUUCUCUACGCUGCCACCUACGGACCGUCACAAGCACGACGGACCGUCAUAAGCUCCGUAGGUGGUCUCUUCUGCAUUUUCGCUCAAAAUCUCCGCAUUCAGCUUUAGACAGAUUUCCUGCAAAACAAAGAAAAACUUAUAUCAAAAUUAGCACAAAAAGGGCUUUCGGACACACUAAACUUAAGGAAAAAGUAUUAAUUAUACCAUGAAACCACGGUAUAUCAACACCCUCAACUUAAAUUCGUUGUUUGUCCUCAAGCGACGCACUAUGACUCACUACACAAUCUUUGUACAAUAGUAUUCAUGUUUUAUCCUUUGCAAUCAUUUGGCUAUCAAUCCCGACUAAUCCCAUCAAAUCUAUGCAUGCUAUCACUAUUAGGCUUGACUUUUGUGGGAUUCGAACAUGACACAGACUCACCAUGCACUAACACCUAUCCUCUUCAAUUUCUCACCGAGGUGCUAAUAAUUCUGGUAUUGCAACUAGUGUCCUCACUUUAGAACAAAAUCCUCAUUUUUUCACACAAUGAUUUCAGUUUGAGUAUAAGGAUUACAUUUCAACACUCGCUCUCAGAACAAAGUCACACUCAUUCAUACCUAUUGCCAUAAGCUUUCCCUUAUUUUCACUGCCUUAAGUUCGCUAUACAACCCUUAGGAUCACGAUAGGACUUUUUUAGCUUGUAACGUAGGCUCAGAGUCAGGUAGGGUAUAUUUAGGUAUACUUUAGUGACUUUUUGCCCUCCUUGACAUGUCGGCUAAACCUUCCGCUCUAUAUCAAUUUAUCUCGCCCAGUUUCUCCUAUUCUUUCACCUUGCUGUUUCCCUUCUUUCUUCAUUUGUGUAAGUGACUCGUUUCUUUUCUUGUUUGUAAUUCUUGAAUAUUUACCUCUUUUUUUUUCAACGAGUUCUUGAGUCACUUUACUUUUGUUCUUUCUCUCUCUUUGUUCUUUCAACCCCACUUUCCAGAGCAUUCCUCAAAACAGCCACCCUCAACUCAUGGCUUUGCCAUGAGUCAAGGUACACAAUACCCAAAAUCGGGUCAGGGCCAUAACGAAGGUUGUUUAUACAUUAGACACCCUCAACUUAUGCUUUUGGCAUAAGCUGAGGUGCACAUGUCCAAGGAGGGACCAGGGCCAACAUAUUGUUCCCAGAAAAGAUCAGUUGGGGUGAAAAAGAAAGGUCUAAUUUUAAGCUCAAAUUCUUUGGAUCAACGAAGGAUAACUUUCAUUUGGUUUCUUUUAUUUAGGCUAGAAAUGGGCUAUAUUGAAUAAGGGCCUAUGAUCCUUUCCUAAUUGUAUGUUACAGCCUACUUUUAGCAGGACUAACCAGGCAAGUUCUAGCUCAGUAUCAGUAGUGGACUAUUCAACUUUCCUCACACUCACUUGACAUCUCAUCACUAUACCAGAUUAUCAGACACCUAGUUCGACUUGAAGGUUUAGGGUAGUGCAAUGGUGUAACUCUAUUUCAUGUUUAGAUCCACACAAUUAUAAGUUAUUACGCCUUUUCAUGCAACCUUUUCCAGUUUUAUCGGGAUAUCAUUUCAGCCAUCAUGCUUCAGAGUUAAACUAUGUACAAAAGAUAUAACGUGCCGGUUCAACAGAAAAAGUAAUCAGUCUUUUGGGGAAAAGAACACAGGCAAGAAAACCCCAAAAGAGGAUAGUGAGUUGGGCUACUCAGACUUCACCCUAACACUCACUUUCCAUUUACCCCACCCCCAACAAAAAAGCAUGCAAUUGUCCCCAAUGCAUAAAAAAAAUAUAAAGAUUAGAGGGGUAGGUGAAGCAAACCUGUGGCGCAUAGCGCCGUCGAUCAACAAGCUGGUGGGUCUGGUUUCCCAGAACCCACAUCCUCUGCAAUCUGGACAACCUCAGUGAUGUCCUCAGCAACAACUGCACCCUCAGUAGUGCCUCCUGCUGUCUCUACAGUGCGGGAGCUAGACGCCCAUGCCGCUAUCUGUGAUGCUCUGAUCUGGUGUGCCUCCGCCUCAGCAAGUGAGGCUCUCCUCGCGGCCUCCAUCUCUCAGCGCUCCUUCUUUCUUGCUCGCGCCUCAUCCUCUGAUCGACCCCUCCGCCUCUUGGCACUCUCUCUCGGGGAAGAUGGGGGAAUGUCUGGAGUAGAAAAUAGAGUCGCCAAUACAGUAUCCUCAGCAGGCUCGACAGACUCUGACACUCUUGUUGCUAGGAUCGUGUCGAUGUCUACACGAAGACUGGCGACUGCAUCCUGGAGAGUCGACACAUCUACCGGAGGGGCUGGUCGAGCUAAUACUCUAAAUUCAAAGGCAUCGAGACACUGGUUAACCUCAGCAAUCUUCCGCUGCAUCUGCCUCUCCAUACGCGCCUCAGACUCAGCAAUAGACUUCUGCAUCCACGGCUGGAUAUGAUGCAGAAGAGUGGCCAUUUGUGCCUCCAGUUUUUGGACUCGGGCGAGCGAGGCCGGUGUCGGUAGAGGGGCUGUGCUGCUACCCAGGAUAGACUCGACCGGGGUAGUGUCCGUGGAUGCCUAUGUAGCUGUGCGAGCCUGGGCCACCGUAUCCGCAAGGUCAUAAGAUAGUGGUGGCAGCUCUGGAUGGGGCCCUCGACGUGGGGCCAACUCAUUGGCCUCGUCUCUGAUGAGGCCGACGUCAACGGUACCCGGCGGGGUCCUCAACUGAUCUAUGUGCCAUAUGGGCACACCUGCAGACCUGCAAAGGGCAAAGAUCAUGCACGGAAAGGGGUAGGUGGUGGUGACCUUGAAUGCCCUCUCGUGCAUGACUGCCUGGAGAAGCCAUGCAUAGUCCACCUCGAAGCCGGCUAUCAUCGCCGCCAUCAGCACUGCUCGAUCCCAGGUAACUAUGUUAUCAGCAGCUGUAGGGGAAAGGCAGUGACGCACGAGCAGCCACAAGAACUUGGCGACGAACAUGAGGUUGGCCUUCUUGAUGGCCCCCUUUGGCUCGGUGACCCAAUCUGCACCCUCUCCGUCGACUGAUAAGUGUAGGGCCAUCCACCGCUUGGUGGUCUCCCUCAGUGCUGGCUCUCGCAGGAACUGUCCAUCCUUCACUACCUGCCAGCGGUAGUCAAACUCGGCAGUGAUGGGGGUCCGAGUAGCAUCUGCACUCUCGCCGUAUAGGAACCGGCGGAUGGCGGGCAGGGAAAUGUCAACCUGCACGCUCCGGACUAGAACCUGCUCCAAUGGGGCCUGUUUCGCGUGAGCAGCCUGCCUGCCGACCUGUGAUCGGACAGUCGCUACGUAGGACGCGUAGAACUCUUGGACCAACUCCUCACUGUAUCGUCCCAAGGGACGGGCUGUCCACUCUAGGCGAUGCCUGGUGAAUAUGUUGUGGAUCUCCGGCAUCGAGGGGAGACUCCCUGUAAGUACUCGCCGCUCCAGGGUGAUGUUCGAGUCAUUACUCCUUUAUCAGUCAAGAACUUCGCGUCUGAGUAAACCUGAAACUGGCCUUCAAUGCACCACCGGUUUGGCUGGUCAGAGACUGGGGUGGGGACCGGGGCUGGUGCGCUGGAUGUGGAGUCUGAACUGUCAGCCUCAUCAGACGAGGCCGACGCUGCAGCAGUGGCGGGUGCGGGAACAUCAGCAGAUCCUGAAGCUUCCUCGGUCCAGGAUGCUCCCAAGGAGCCAGACGCUCCUUCCUCAUUUGUGGCCGACCCAGAGGGUGUGCCGGUCAGUGUGCGCUCCUCAUCAGACUGGGAGGCAGUGACUACGCCGGACGCCACCGUCUUGGGUGUGGCUCUGGGGGCACGUGUAGCACGGGAAGGAGCGGAGGUGCCUGGGGGCAUGUAUUCAGGGUCCCACUCAUCAUCAGACCUGAUGAUCAAGUGUGCAGACGGGGCGACAGACUUAGAUCGCCCGCGUGCAUAAGUGCGGUCUUGCUUGGGUGCCAUAGUCGAUAGUACCUGUAAAGGGGCAAUGUUAGUAUGAGUAGUGGCAAUCAAAUCAGGCAAGAUCAUAUGACAUGAAACUUUAAAAAAAAUGUGUUAGUAAUAUUGAAACUGUACCACACGACGGGACCUAUGACGGCUCGUCGUGACUAUGACGGACCGUCAUGAGGUCCGUCGUGUUAUACUUGGUAUAUGUAUAUAUAAGGAACCCUGAAGGAGGGGUCGCUGACCAUCAUGACGGUUAAGAAGGACGGACCGUCGUGGGUAUGACGGUCCGUCGUAAGGGUCCGUCGUUGGACACUUAGAAAAUGAUGGGAGAACCUCAGAAGAGGGUUCUCUGACUAUCAUGACGGUCGUGCAGGACGGACCGUCGUGGGUGUGACGGUCCGUCGUAAGUGUACGUCGUUGGACACUUGGAAAAUUUUUGGAGACCCUUAUCAUUGGGGUCUCUGACUAUCAUGACGGUCGUGCAGGAAGGACCGUCGUGGGUGUGACGGUUCGUCGUAAGUGGCCGUCGUUGGACACUUGGAACAUUUUUGGAGACCCUUUUCAAAGGGGUCUCUGACCAUCAUGACGACCGUGCAGGACGGACCGUCGUGAAGACAACGGUCCGUCACAGGCGUCGUUGGGGAGGGUGCUAGGGCUUAUGCGACGGACACUACGACAGUCCGUCGUAAAUACGACGGACCGUCAUCGGGGUCUCGUUCUGAAUAUUAGAGACAGAACUGUAGGUACCCUAAGCAACCCCAAUGAACACAUAUGGUCGUGUAGUGUUGUAGACCUCUAUGUGUCUAUCCCAACUACCUAGGAAACUAUUAAUGUGAAAUCACCUAUGUCUGGGGUUAUUAUCAUGGCAAAUUCAAACAUUUAGAGCCUAGGUCUAGACAUAAUCAUAUCAAGGUAACAAGAGACGACUAGGAACGAAAUAAUAACUAAUAAACAAAAAUACAAGAGAAAUGAGUACAAAUUUAGAGACACAUACCUUGGAAAUGGAGAAAACACAAGUGGGGAAUGAUUCAGGUGGCAAGGUAGAUACCAAAAACAGCAGCACCGACAAGUAACUGAUAGUAAUAAGGUUGGGGAGAUUGUGGAAGUAAUGAUCAGUGGGGGAAGUGUGGAAGUGGAAAAGAGAGGGGAGAUGAGAAGAGGUGGAAGUAAUGGGGUGGAAUAUGGAGGGAUGGGGAGUAUAAACGGUUAAAUUUUGAAAAGGGGUCCAGCCGGGUCGGGUCGGGUUAAUUUCAUUAAUCGCGCGACGGUACCCCGACGACGGUACGUCGCACAUGCGACGCCCCGUAGUGGUGUCCGUCGUGUGUGCCCUAGUUUCAAAAAUGACAGAAAUACGUACCUGGUGUGACGGUGAAUACGACGGUCCGUUUCACACGCGACGGUCCGUCGUUGUAUCCGUCAGUGGCUACUGCGGAGUAGUUUUCUGCAGAAUUUCCUGGUGAUGUGCCUGCAAAUUUAAAACCCAUUUAUAGAAAAAUGCUACCAUUAUUAAAAAGACGACAAGUAUUGGGUUGCCUCCCAACAAGCGCCAGAUUUAACGUCGCGGCACGACUGGGGCCACUUGAUUACUCAGACUUCAUCAAGAUGGCAUACCUCUAUCACUUUAUUCCCCGAUGCUUUAUGCCCAAAAUAGAGUUUUAUUCUAUCUCUAUUCUUCUUAAACCGCACUCCCUCCUUGGCUUUUAACUCAACUGCCCCAUGAGGGAAUAUUUGGGUAAUCAAGUAAGGGCCAGUCCAUUUGGACUUGAGCCUACCUGGAAGACAAGGCACCUCAGAACUGUCUACAAGUACCAAAUCCCCAACCACGAACUCUUGUUUUGCAAAUUUUUGUUCAGUCCCCUUCUUCAUCUUUUCUUUGUGGGAUAUGGCAGAUACCGAUUGGAGCUCACCACUCUGCCUCAUGGUCCUACAAAUGUUGAAGGUUGCUUCUUCAUUAUUCAACCGAAAUGUCAUCUGUCCCUUCUCCAUGUCAACUAAGGCUCUACCUGUAGCAAGAAAUGGCCUCCCAAGAAUAAUGGGCACCUCGAAAUCGACUUCGCAAUCAAGAAUCACAAAAUCUGCUGGAAAGAUGAAUGACUCCACUUUUACUAGCACAUCAUGGAGUAUCCCUAUGGGCUUUUUCACAGUCCGAUCGGCCAUCAGUAGCCGCAUCGCAGUGGGUUUUGGAUCCCCCAAACCCAACUUCUUGUAAAUUGAGAGGGGCAUUAGAUUUAUGCUUGCCCCCAGAUCACAUAAUGCUUUCGCAAAAUGUAAUGACCCAACUGUGCAAGGAAUAGUGAACGCACCUAGAUCUUCUUUCUUUUGUACUAGGGAUCUUGUAGCGAUAGCACUACAAUGUUGCAAUCUAUCAUCAUCCUCAAACGUGACCGAUCUUUUCUUGGUGACCAGAUCUUUCAUAAAUUUGGCAUAACCGGGCAUUUGUUCUAGAGCUUCUACCAAAGGGACAUUGAUAGAGAGCUGCUUCAACAUUGUUAUGAAGCGCUGGUAUUUACCAUCCUCAGUCUUUUUCACUAAUCUCUGAGGGAAGGGUGGUGGUGGCCUAGGCAUGGGGAUUACCUUGAUAGGUACUUCUGCAUCUGUUCCAUUACUUUCAUCUGUUUCACCACUACCCUUUACCAGCUUAUCAUUAUCCUUUCUUACAUUUUUCUCAGCAGAUGGCAUGGGUGGGUCAAUGGUUUGCCUACCACCCCGAGUAGUAAUUGCCAUACAGUGUGCAUCAUUCUUUGGAUUUUGGACAGUGUUGCUAGGAAGAGUGCCCGGUUGCCGUGUGUUCACUGUCGCAGAUAAUUGGGCUACUUGCAAUUCGAUCUGUUUAAUCAAAAUUGCGUGUGUGUCCACUUUUUGCCCAAUACUAGCUAACUCACCCCUUAAUUCUUUAAUGUGCUCAUCACUAGCAUCGAACCUCCUCAUCAUUUUGUGAAACAUAUCCUCAACUCGCGCCAUACUAUCUCCACCAUCCCUAGGAGUAACUUCACGAUUUUGAGGAGGAACAUAGGGUCCACUCUUGUCGUUUCUAUUACCAUAGUUACUCCUGUUGAAGUUGUUGUCGCGGUUGUAGUUACCAUCUCGGACAUAAUGACCCUCACGGUUGUAGUUACCAUAGUUUCGACCUUGGUUACCUUGACCUUGGCACCAAUUAUCCUGAUUUGAGCCUUGGGCGCUUGGUCGGAAAUCCCCCAUUUGUUCAUUGAUUGCAUAGGAAUCCUCCUCAUAGUAACAUUCACCGUUAGGGGGUGGUGGUUUAGCCAAGUAGUUGACUGCAUUAAUCUUUUCUGCACCCCCAGUAAUAUGUUUUAGUACCAACCCAAGCUCAGUUCUCAUCUGAGCCAUUUCUUCCCGAAUAUCAUCUGUGGCUGGGUUGUGAGUGGACUGUACUGCGAAGGUGUUUCUCCCUGUAUCGGACUUCCUAGUACUUCAAGCUUUGUUGUUACGGGAGAUUUUCUCUAAUUUCUCAGCAAUCUCAGCAUAAGGGCAUUCUCCAUAAGAUCCACCUGUUAUAGUGUCUAACACCGCUUUAUUGUUAUCAUCCUAUCCCCUAUAGAAGUAUUCCUUUAGUGACUCAUCAUCAAUACGGUGAUUUGGGACACUUCUCAAGAAUGAGGUGAAUCUAUCCCAAGAACUACUAACUGACUCUCCUGAUAGUGCCACAAAGUUAUUCACCCUGUCUUUGUGGUUUAAUUUCUUGGAGACCGGAUAGUAGCGUGCUAAGAAGACAUCUCGUAGUUGGUUCCAAGUGAAAAUGGAGUUGUAUGGGAGUUUAGUAAACCACAUAGCAGCCUCUCCCGUCAGUGAGAGAGGAAACACUCUGAGACCUAUUACAUCUAGAUCUAAAUCAGGCCUCCCCACACAACUCUUACACACUGCCCUUACCUUAGCUAUAUGGGCAUGUGGAUCCUCAGAAGGUAGCCCUGAAAACAAACCUCUGGCAGUGAGCAUUUGCAUCAGACUACUAGUUACCACAAAAGUGUGGCCUGUAGGUAGAGGAGGCAAAACCAGUGGCCCAUCCGAAUCUGCUAUGUUAUUAUAGCCUCUGUAGUAUGCUUGGGGCCGUGGAGCGGGAUUCUGUCCCCUCUAUUGAUGUUCACCCGGAGCAUCGGGUAACAUCUGACCAUGAACAUCAGCAGGAGCUGGGAUGUUCUGGUUUGGAUCCUCAUCAUUGAUUCCCAAGUUACGAUUCAUGUUUCGCAGUGUACGUUCUAGCUCGUGAUCGUAGGGGAACAACGAUUCUCUUCCUCUCCGUGUAUUUGGCAUACAAGGAGGAUAAUUCUGAAAAGGAGUCAAAAACAAUAAAACAACGUAAAAUCAAGAAAAUAUCAACUAAACUAUAGUAAGAAGUUCAAGUUAAUCUAAAAGCUAAAUUCCCCGGCAACGGCGCCAAAAUUUGAUACGCUCAAACUUACUUCUCAAAUGAGAAGUAAAGCGGUCGCGUCAAGUAAAUAACCCAACUAGUGAGGUUGGAUCGUUCCCACGAGGAAAAUAGUCUAGACUUAACUCCAACUUGUUAUUACUAUUGUUUGGUUGAUGACUUCCUUAAAAAGUAAAAGCAUAAAAGGGGGGUUUCGUACUUCCUAAUAAAAUAAAAAAUAACUAACGAACUUGACAGAGACACUUAACAGCUUUUAAUGUUGAGUUUUAAUCAAGUAAUCAAAGUAACUAGGGUUUACGUGUUCCCCACAGGUUCAUAACUUGAUAAUUCUAGCUAUAACAAUUCUUUCCUAGUAUCUUGCAUGCAAAGUGAUAAGCUAUGUAUUUCUAAAUCCUUGGUCCGGCAUCUAGAAAAUCUCACUCCGCACCUUGGUCCGGCUACGUGUGUUGCUUUCCUAACCCUUAUCCUUACCUCAUAUUAAGCAUCAUAUUCGAUAUUUGACUCAGUUAUUACCUCGUACCAAUCAAUACCGGCCUAUUAGAUAGUAUACACUAAAUCUAUGUUAAUAAUUCUUUUCCUAUCAUCUACCUCCUUGGUCCGGCAAGUAGCAUUAAGGCGAGUUCUAACGUUGAUCAUCCGUUAAAAAAAUUUCUAAGCGAAAGAAUUAUUAAUACAUGCAAGACACUAUUCUAGAAUUGUUAUUUUAGCUAGGGUUUAUCUCAUUAUUUGCCUAUGGUUCCCACAACCCUAGUUAUAGAGUUUAGUUCCUCAUAUCCAUAAACACAAUAUUCAAAUAUAUUAAACAAGAAGUCAUGUACUUACUUUGAUGAGAAAGAAUAAAGUCUGAAAAUUUGCUUGAUUAAUCAACUAGAGUUACUUGUAAGAAUCUCCAAAAAUCAAUAGCUUAGAAAAACAAAGUGUAAUAAUAUGAUCUUAAAUCUCCCAGAGUCUAACCUCAAAAACGAGGUUUUUCGAACUAUUUAUAAAAAAAUAAAAACCUAAUUAAACAAGGAUUCUAAUUACUGGAAAUCUGCCAAAACGCGGCUGGGUCGACGGACCACGUGACGGAACGUCGUGGUCAUGACGGACCGUCGUGGGCUCCGUCGCCCCAUACUUGGGUGCAAUUCUUCUGCUGCUUUCUUCAUUCCCCUCGACGGCAAGUGUGACGGACCGUCACAGGCACGACGGUCCGUCGAGGGUCUUCAUUACAAAAUACUUCAACUUUUGGAAUUUGGGUACUGGGAUCACUUCUCUGAUCUUCGCGAAGAACCUGUAGGACGGACCGUCAUAUCCAUGACGGACCGUCACAAGCUUCGUAAUCCCACACUUGGUCAGACUUCCCCGUCUUCCUUCAGCAGCUUCUCUACGCUGCCACCUACGGACCGUCACAAGCACAACGGACCGUCAUAAGCUCCGUAGGUGGUCUCUUCUGCAUUUUUUGCUCAAAAUCUCCGCAUUCAGCUUUAGACAGAUUUCCUGCAAAACAAAGAAAAACUUAUAUCAAAAUUAGCACAAAAAGGGCUUUCGGACACACUAAACUUAAGGAAAAAGUAUUAAUUAUACCGUGAAACCACGGUAUAUCAUGCCCUACCUUUAUGAUCUUGUUUGAACUUGGAGGAUGGAACACUAGUUGAUGAAGGUGCUGGAGUUGAAAAUCUCCGCUGACCCUAGCAAUUUUCACCACUCGGGUUCUAUUGAGAAUAUUCUUAGUUUCCAGUCCUAGCCUUCUUAUUCUCCCUAGCCUGUCCCCUAAGCUUAUCACCCUCAACCUGUUGUGCAUGAGUCAUGAGCCUAGAGAUGUUUCCUACUCUGUAUGCACCAAGUCUGACACUCCGUAAAGAAACAUAUUUAGCUGAGCCUUGAAAUUAGCAACCAUAUGAAGAGCAUACCUGUAGAGUUGGGUAAACUUGAGCCCAUACUCUUGGACCAUCAUGCUACCUUGCCUUAAGUUCAUAAAUUCGUGAAGUUCAUAAAUUCCUGAGUUUUUUCCUCUCUUAACUCCCUUAGGAAAAACCUAUCCAAAAAGGUUUCACUAAAGAAAUCCCAAGUGAUAGGUUAUGAGCAACAUCCUUAAACUGGUAAGAUGCCAACUUAACCCAAUCAUUUCAAGUUACCUGCAUCACUUCAAAGAUCUUCUUGACCUCAUCAAUGAAGUUUUGUGGUUACAUACUAACAAAAUAUCGAACUCUAACUGUAGCUGACCCAGCAUUGGCAUUUUUUCGGAACUAGAGCCCGCUGAUUAAUCUGGUUGGCCACUCUCUAAGAUUGCAUGUGAUUGGUGUUCCGAAACUCUACAUUCGAUGCUUAUGGGUAUGGACAAAAGGAGUUGUAUUUGCAUUCCUGGCAUUAGAACUACGAGGCAUAAUCAUUGAAACGUAAAUUGUCAAAUAAUAAUGGAAUUAGAUCACACCUUACACACGAUAAGAGGAACAAGAAAAUGAAGAUUUUCCUUAAACAGUUUGAAGUCUCCCUCUCAUUAGAUGUGGUGCGCACUAUACACCCAUGAAAAGGACUCUACCUAUUGCAACUUCUUAUACAUGCUAGGACACUUAAGCCUAGGGCUCUGAUACUAAGUUUGUCAUGCCCUGAGCUAUCCCAAGAAAGGGAUAUGGGACCUAGAAUUACAAGUGACCCCAAGCUAACCCUACUGGCAUAAUCAUGAGCAUACUAAAGAAUUGUGAGCAAAAAAUGUAAGCAAGCUAAAUAAUAAGAGAUACUGAAAAUAAUGGGGAAUACCCAUAUACUAAAAAUUUAAUAUCAAAUCUGAGAGUUUCAUACAAGAGAAAUAUCAAACUCAAUUACUAAGCUGAAUCUAACUAUACUUGAAUAAGUCGCUAUUGACUAGAAAUGUUGGGACAUGCCCCAACUAAAUCUAGAAAAACUGAAACUAAGGACUAAAAGCAGUAAAGAUAAACAUGUCAUUAAUCCUCGAAGAGUGAGGACUCACCACUGAUAUUGUUGAACUCGUGAUCAAGAACCAAUAUAAGUGUGAUUUAGAAGCUGAGAACAUGAUCUUACAUCACAAGAAGAUAUAGCGCAGAGUAUGCACCAGUACUUGAAAGGUACUUGUAUGCAGGAUAGAGUAACGCGUAAAUAAACAUAUAAUUGAACAAGCAAUAAAGCAAGAGUAUAAUCUAAACAAGAUAUAGAUAUUGAAUACUGAGCUAAAUGAAUGCAAUGACCAAAUGAUGACAUUUUGAGAUUGAAUAUUGACUAUAUUGACAUGUCGUUAAUGAAAUGGAGUCUGAAUGAACUAUGAGAGUUAUUAAUAACAGAUAAUAAAACCACAUGAGCUAAAUGUGGAUUCCGAUGUACACGCCUCAUUGAGAGGACCCAAUACACCUAGCCAAAAGGUAUAGAAACAUAAUAGCGUGAUCACUAAAAUGAUGCCCACAUAGGGGACAUACAACCUACGUGGCUAGUACUUCUUGGACUGAUUGGGUAUGCUAAAACCUAGUCCACUCAAUAUUAUGUCACUCCCAAUAGAUUACUUGAUUAACAUAUUUUGAGUGAAUUUAUGUACUACUACAUAUCUCAAAACUUGACAUGCAAACUGGGGGUGCAAUAAUUAAUCUAAUAAUGAUGCAUUAAUAACUGAGGCAUGUAUAAUUGAAAAACUUGACCUAGAAUGUGUAAUUCAAGAACUAAAGAAAUACAAAACUAGGGUUCUAAAAUUUAUACAAUAGACUAAGUAAUAACAUAAUAAUCUGAUUUGGAACCAAUACAUAAGUACUUCAUGAUGAACUGCUGAAAUUCUAAGACGCUAGGUCUAUUCAUCAUAAGGGAAUCAAGAAACUGACUAAAUUCUAAGGACCAAAUGGAUGAAAUGAAUCACUAGUGAAAUCACACAUACCUAGUGACGGAUUCCACGGAGAAACCUUCAAUUUUGGGGCUGGAAUUGAUGAAAUCUUGUUGCAUUCUUGAACUAGAGUUCUUGACCUCUUUUCUCCUCUGAACCUCUAAUUUCUGUAAUUUUGAUUAAUCAUUUGACUUAGGUGAGUUCUAGUUUUUUUGUAGUCUAAAAAUGACGAGGUUUAAAAUUCUAGAAAAAUAGGAAAAGAUUGAAAUAACCCUAACUUAAAGCUGCAAAUGGGCUGACUACGACCACCUUCACAGACCGUGAAAGGGACCAUGGACCGUGAAGUGGGUCAUGGUCUGGACUUGGUACUUAAAUCUUGGAGGUCUGGACCAUGAUCCCUCCCACAGACCAUGAGAAAGACCACGAAUCGAGAACGUAUCUAUGGUCUUCACUUGGUUUGGGAGUCUGAGGGGCUGACUAGGGAUGGUUGUUGCCUAACCUUCCACGGACCCUCCCACGGCCUAUGUGAAGGACCAUGAAUCGUGAAGGUGUAUGUGGUCUCUACUUAGACCUGGAGUUCGACUGGUUAAUCCUCACAGAUGCUCCCAUGAGUCGUCAUGAAGACCGUGGACCGUGAAGUCCCUCAUGUUCUUCACUUGGGUGUGGGCGUCAGAGGGGUUGGCCAAGGGGCUAGUGCCUCGACUAUACGGGCGUCUCCGAUAGUGAUAUUUUUUUACAUUCAUUAAUUUAUGCUUUAUGUUAUUAAUUGAUGUUUCUGAGUACAUGCUCUAAAUUUUAUUGUUUAUGUUCUACAAAGUUAUUAUUACAAGUAUUUGUUAGUACAAUUAAUUGAAUUUUCACCCAAAUUUUCCCUAAAGUAAUUGUUGAAGGUACAGUAAAAAAUCCCUUAAAGAUCUAUAUUACCAUGUCUUGAAGACAAAAUUUGAAUGUGGUAUGUUAUUGUAAUGACAUAGAGACCUUAAAAACCUUAUCGUACAUUAAUGUGUGAAGUAAACCAAUAAAAGAAGACAAAAUUGAAUAAACUUUUGACAUUGCUUCAAGGAUGUUGUGUCGGAUGACCUAUAGAGGAAUAUGAAUAGUUUAAAGCCUAUUUUAAUCCCAAUGACAUAGAUAGCUACAAUAAAUUAACUAUUCAUUUUCAAUAUAAAGUAUAGAUAAAUUUUCAAGUUUACUGCAAGUUGUAAAUACUUUUCAUAAAGUAAUAGAUAUGUUUCUCGACAAUACAAUUGGAAUAAAAAUGUAGUUUCAAAUUGAAAUUCAUCACUCUAUGUAACAACCCUAAAAAUGAAUAAGACAAUAAAUGCUAAUGUGUCAAAAGUGCCUACGAUUAGACUAGGGUUCGCACGGAUUGAUGUGCGUAGAAACAGAUCUCGGGAACCUUGCUACAGCCAAGCCAACUAACUUGAGGAGUUAGUUGAGCUUCGAAAGGUUGGGUCCAACCAUGUAGGGCUCUCGAAUACGAAGAUUUACUCGAAUGAGUCUUUACCGGACUUCAAAAGAGAAAAUCUUAGUUUGAAGGGUCUAGGGGUAAAAUGGUCUUUUUCCUGGCUAAGGGUAAUAUCAUAAUUAUCCUAAAUAUAUAAUAAAUUAUUUAUUUAAUAAUUUGGAGGAGAAAAUUGGAGAGAGAGAGAGACGAAAUGGAGCUCUUGAAGUUAAAUCUUGCUGCACCCGGGGUCGAACCUAGGUGGGAGCAAUGAUUUAAUGUGAUAUUUUUAUUGGUGAAUUAAUUGAAUAAAUUAAUAAAUAAUGGCUGAUUUAAGAAGGAAAAUCAGAUUUUAUUAUUAAUUAUUAUUUAUUAAUUAAUUAAUAUGUUUUUAUGACUAAGUCUCCUAGUUGACUAAGUCUAAACUACUUCACCUUUUUUAACUCUCUCUCACACUCAUCUCUCUGAUGUUUUCUCCGCUCUUUCACGUUCUCUCUGCUAAAAAAAUGCAAGAACUGAUCAGCAACUAAGCUUCCUUAACACUUGAAGAACUUUAACGUUAAAAAACUUAUUCAAAUAUAGCCAAAACGUUAGGCAGAGAGAGGAGUCUUUCCGCCAAAAACUUUGUAUUAAAAACAUGGCUUGGGCAUGAGUUUUGGAGAGGGUCUAGGACGCAACUUCAAGUUUUGAAUGUAAAAUUGAGGUAUGCGUUUUCUCUCUUGGAAUUCUUUAUCCAAGAGAAAUUUCUUUCUACAAAAUUCAAACGUAUAAAUUUGGGUUGUCCCCUUGAAUGUUGAACUCCUUGUCCCUAGUCUCCUUCCCAUUUCAAUCUAAACUAGGUUAGAAAUCAUGUUGUUGGUAUGGUUGCUGGUAGAGAAGUGUGAAAUAUGAUAUUCUUUGUGAUUGUGUUUGGAAAUAGCAACCAUGUUCAAUGAUGUCAACCGAAAAUGAUGUGGUGCAAUAUGUAAAUGUUUGGUGUUGUUAUCCGUUUUGAAGUCUUAAAAUGGUUAGUUUGAUGGCUGAAAUUAGCGUGCAUAAAAUGUGUAAUUUGUGAUGUUAAUAUGAGGUGUAUGUAACUUAUUUUAAGUGGAAAUUUGCAUCUAAAAGAACAAUGCAUCUACACCUAAGAAUGUGUUAAACAAAUCCAUGAAGUAUACCCUAAUAAGGUGUUAAAUGAUCCAUGACUUUUCCUAAGUUUUCAAAUGGAAAUAUUAGUGAAAAUAAGGUAAGAAAACGACUAAUUUUCCAGCAAAAACAACAAGUUUCGUUUAGGCUAAAGUAUAGAGAAGUAAUCUGGAAAUUUAAUUGGUUUUAAAAGGGAUGAGGCCACCAGGAUUCGAACAUGUGACCUCACCCGGGUGGAACCUUAAUUUCGCAAGAAAUAAAAAAAGAAAAAAAGGGUUGGGGUGUACAUGCGAGUAAGGAGAAUGCAAAAAUUUAAAUAAAUAAUAUGGUAGGCGUCGGAAUCGAACCCACGACCUCCAGGCAACAAAUGAAGGUAAAGAAAAAUAAAAGAAAGGAAGUGUGAGGCGUGGGAAUCGAACCCACAACCUCAAGGCUGGAAAGGGGAAAGGGGCGUGAUAAAUAAGAGAAUAAAGUGAGGCUAUGGGGGAACGAUCCCACAACCUCACUUCCAAACGCAUAGUAAGUCAAUUUUUAAGUAAAAAUGAAAUAAGGAGGCUAUGGGGGUUCGAACCCACAACCUCCCUAUCACUAACGAAAUAAAGAGUGAAUAAAGAGAGGUUGUGGCGAUUUGAUCACACAACCUCUUAGUCUAGGCGAAUUGGGCAACACAAUUUUAAAUGAAAAAUAAAAAGGGGUUGUGGGGUUGAAACCUCCCUAUAACUAACGAAAUAAAGAGUGAAUAAAGAAAGGCUAUGGCGAUUUGAUCACACAACCUCUUAGUCUAGGCGAAUUAGGCAACACAAUUGUAAACGAAAAAUAAAAAGGGGUUGUGGGGGUUCGAUCCCACAACCCUUCGGCCAAAUAAGAAGAGAAUCCAAAGAGAAAAAUAAAUAUAGAAUGUUGAUGUUGGGGAUCGAUCUAGGGUCCCAAUGUCAUGAAGACUAAAAAAUAAGUCAAGGAAAAAUGUAGGUAUUGUCCAAGGGAUUCGAACUUGGGUUUCCUUGCCCAAAUUUCCAUAUUGAUGCAUAAAUUAUACGUGAAUUAAAUGUUCAAGAAUAGUGACAUCUACUUAGAUCAAAAUCAAAAUCUUGGCGUACAUACAAGAUGCAUAAGUCUUGUACUACAUAAUCUUAGAAAGAUAUGAGUCAGUUAACGAACUAUGAAUGAAGCCUCAUGGCUACUAUGUAUAGACCCAUAAGUCUAGCAUACGUUUAAGAAUAAGUAAACGUAGGAUCUAUGUAAAGAAAUGAAGUAACCCUAGAAGGGUUAAGUACGAGUGUGAAACACACUAAAUGACUAAGUGCAUUGGCAUUUGAUGAAAUGAACAUUAACAUAAAAUGGGGUGAGUAAUUAUGAAGAGAAAUUUUGCUAAUAUUAAUGAAUGUGGUGACAACAUGAUAUGAGGCUAAUGUAAAAGAUGAGAACAAUCUCAAAUAAGCCUAAGUAAAUGUUACCAAAACGUACUCACAUAUGAGAGUGUAAAGUUAAUGAAGAGACUAGUCUCUAUGAACACUCUAAUGAAAGUGUUGAGAUUAACACACAUAAUACUAAUGAUGAGAUGAGAAAUCAUAUAUAGAGUUAUGAUGUCCUCAUACUAGAAGCCAGCUUUCAUGACGUAUGAGUUGAAUGUAAUGGAACUUUAUACUGAGCACCGAUAGACAAGCUAUGAGCGGUGAUGCCUUCUUUCGAGAAGGACAGAGGUUCACGUAAAUAUCAUGAGAUGAGACUGUACGGCAUGGCGGGUAUGGGUCUCCUUAUAUCAUCUAGUCUACGAACCUAUACUGCCAGUAUAGAGAUCUGGCGGGGUUAAAUUCCCAUGUACGCUAGCAUGUUUUGGGUCACUUCAGCCGGUGAUUGCACCUCUUUUCGGUGUGGGGCAGACACUGGAUUUCAUGAUGUCACAUGAUCUAUGUCGGUUAAAGUUAAAGUUCCCAAUGAAUGAAUGAGGCCAGCCUCAAUGAUGCACAUAAUGAAAUAAACUAUACCAAAGGUGUUAGGAUAGGAUAGUCAAGAGGUGAGCUAGACUCAAGUAAUGACACUAGGUUAUUAUUGAUCAUUGCACAGCAAACCCGAUGAAAGUCUUAAACUACAUCCUAGGUAUAGUUGGUGUUCACACUAGCCUAUGAACGAGAUGAAAUGAAGUACAUAUGAAUGAAUGCCACCGACUCCGUGUUUGUUAAUGAAGACUCCCUAGUUGAGGUCUCAUAUGUUGAGCCUCCAUUUCGGAAAGUCGUAAUGUAAAGUCCAUGAUUCCAAGGUCUCAUGGCAUAUGAUAUGUGUUAUAUGUAAGAUGUUAUGUGUUAUAUGCAAUAUGAUGUGUGUUAUGUGUAAGAUGUUAUAUGUUGUGUGCAAUAUGAAAAAUAUAACGAUGCAUGUUACUCUCAUGGCAUGACUUUCCAAAUCCAAAUUUGAAAAGGUCACUGACUUACCUAAUCCAAUUUUGGAAAGUUCACUGACUUUCCUAAUCCCAAUUUGGCAAGUCCACUGACUUGACUUUCCAUAAUCAUGUUGUUAGGAAAGAGCUAUCCUUACUCAUGCAUGUCGUUGGUGUGUGCUUGCAUAUACCCAUACCUAGUACAAGUGUGUACUAAUCCCAUACAACUCUAUAUUUUUAGGUGCAGACACAGGUGGACGAUAGAGCUUACAGGUUGACGUUGCAGCUAUCCGGACGUGGAGCUUUCAUCCAGACUUGGUAGGCCCUCAUGCUUCCGAGGAUGCCUACCGUUAUUAUCUAGCUUAGACGUAGGAUUUAGCUAGUGGAGCAUGUUCCACUAGUGUUUAUUUCAACUUUCAUUUCAUACUUUGUAUUGGUGCCAAUUUGGCAAAAAUACGUUUAAGGAAAUUAUGAACUAUUUCUUUCAUUUGAUUAUCACUAUAUUAGAUGGUUGAUUUGUGAACGCCUAUGAGGUUAAGUUUAAAAUGUUUAGCACAAAGUAAGAAGACAAAAUUUUCAAAUUUUUUGCUAAAAUUAACCUAGAUGAGGUAAGAAUGACGUAUGUAGGCUUAUCUGCGACCUCUGAGAGGUCAACGAUGCCGGUCUCGUUUAGGUCUAGAUUUCGAUCAUGACAAAGUUGGUAUCAGAGCACUAGGUUAAAUUCCGAGGAUAAUAAGUCCACAUCAACCACAUUGAGUAGUUUCUAAGUCAUGGUAGUGAAGUUUACAACUAUCCUGGAUUAGAGACUGCAUGAUGCAUACGAAAAUUUCCCUUCUUCUGAUCUUAUCAUGCUUUUCCUAAUGUCUGAUUUCUUGGUGUUAUGAGCGUGUCUAACAUCAAUUCUUAUUAUUUUGAGAGAAUGAAUACUAGGAGGAACGUUGGUCAGAGGAGAAGAGGUGCAGCUGCUGGAGGCAAUCAGGUUCCACCCCACGCUCCAGCUGAAGGAAUGUCUAUGCUGGUUAACCCCGUUGGGUUGACCAAUGCGGAGGUGCGGACAUCUCUGGCCCAAAUGGCACAGGCCAUCACUAUGUUGGCCCAGGCCAUGACUGCCUAGGUCAACCUGCAGAAUGUAGAAAAGGAGAACUCACCAGUGCGUAGCAUGGCUGAUAGGCUGAUAAACUUCACGAGGAUGAACCCUCCUAUUUUCACAAGGUCUAAGACUUCAGAGGACCCCAGAAGUUUGUGGACAAGGUGCAUAAGAUUUUGGUGGCUAUGGGAGCCACAAAUACUGAGAAAGCAGAGUUUGCUUCCUAUCAUCUCAAGGAUGUUUCAUAGACUUGGUACAGGAUAUGGCAAGAAAACCGAGCUUUGAGCAGAGUUUCGGUCACUUGGGAGAUGUUUAAGACAGACUUCUUGCAGAGAUUCUUUCCCAGGGAGAUGAGGGAGGUAAAGGUUGAGGAGUUUAUCAACCUUAAGCAGGGAUCAAUGACAGUCAGGGAGUAUUCCCUGAAGUUUGUCAAAAUAUCCAGGUAUACUAUUUCCGUUAGAAUCUAACAACAAAGAUGAUAUGAGUACUGAAGUUUGUUAAAUUAUCCAAGUAUACUACUUCCCUUGUAUCUAACAGCAAUGAUGAGAUGAGCAGGUUCCUCACAGUAAUCAACGGAGAUCUAGGGGAGGAGUGUCGGUCUGUGAUGCUCCAUGAGAACAUGGACCUCUACAGGUUGAUGGUGCAUUCCAACAGGUAGAGGACAGCCGCAAAAAGAGGGGUGUUCGUGAUGCUAGGAGACCGAAGCCUCAAGAUCAGGCAAUUCCCAGCCAUGGAGUCCAUAGAAACAAUUUUGGCAUUCGUCAGCAGCCCAGAUCCAAGAAUGAGCAGCGGAGUUCUGGAAAUUCUAAUUCCAAGAGGAGUACAACACUUAGAAGAGGCAGACCUGGGCCCAAGAAGGACAAGUGUGGACGUGCUCACAGUGGAGAGUGCAGAUAGGGCACUAAUGCCUGUUUUGGUUAAUGUAAGAGUGGGCAUAUGGUUAGAGAUUGCCUACAGAAAAGAGGUCAGGUUGGAGGUAAUGCUCAGCCUAGGACUAAUCCACAGGGUGCAGCAGCAGCCGAGCCUCCUAAGAGGAACAAGUUCUAUUCCCUAAAGGGAUGAGAGGAGCAGGAGAAGUCCGCUGAUGUGGUCAUAGGUAUGCUGCAAGUAUUCUCAACUUCUGUUUAUGCUUUACUUGAUCAAGGGUCUACGCUUUCCUUUGUAACUCAUUUGCUUGCUCUCACUUUUGAAAUAUUUCCUGAAGUUCUGCAUGAUCCUACAGUGGUUAGUACACCUUUAGGAGAAAAUGUAAAAAUUGAUAGAGUAUACAGAUUGCCCAAUAGUUGUAAGUGGUAAGACUAUGUGUGCAGACUUGGUUGAGUUACCCAUGCAUGAUUUUGAUGUUCUCCUUGGAAUGGACUGGCUUCACAGUUGUUAUGCUUGUUUGGAUUGUCGUAUUAGAGUGGUGAGAUUUUGUUUCCCUAAUUGAGAGGAACUAGUCUGGGAGGGGUACAUCUUGAGUCAUCCUAAUCCCUUGAUUUCGAACCUAAAAGGCCAAUAAAAUGAUGUCCAAGGGGUUGUUAUGUCAUAUUGUGAGUGUUAAUGAUUUGAAUCAUGACAUUCCUUCCAUAGACUCAGUUCCUGUUGUGAAUGAGUUCCUAGAUAUAUUUCCUGAUGAUUUGCUUGGAGUCCCUCCUCCUCAAGAGAUUGACUUUGGUAUCGACUUAGAACCCGAUACUAAACCAAUUUCGAUUCCUCCCUACAGCAUGGAUCCAGCUGAACUCAAAGAGUUGAAGCUGCAGUUAAAAUAUCUCACUGAUAAGGGUUUCAUUCAGCCGAGCAUAUCUCCUUGGGGCGCUCUAGUGUCGUUUGUGAAAAAGAAGGAUGGCCCUUAAAAUGUGUAUCGAUUAUCGAAAGCUCAACAAAUUCACUAUAAAGAAUAAGUAUCCACUUCCCAUAAUAGAUUAUUUGUUCGAUCAACUCCAAGGGUCUAGGUUCUUCUCUAUGAAUGAUCUUCGUUCAGGAUACCAUCAGCUCAGUGUUAGGGAUGGAGAUAUAACAAAGAUAGCCUUUUGUACCCAUUAUGGUCAUUAUGAGUUCUUGGUUAUGUCAUUUGGUCUCACAAAUGCACCUGCUGCAUUUAUGGAUCUCAUGAACAGGAUCUUCCGUGAAUACCUUGACUCUUUCGUCAUAGUAUUCAUUGAUGACAUUCUCAUCUACUCUAGGACCAAGGAAGAGCAUGAACAACAUUUGAGACUAACCUUACAGGUACUUAGACAACAUCAGUUGUACGCCAAACUCAGCAUGUGUGAAUUUUGGCUUAGAUCAGUGACCUUCCUGGGUCAUGUUGUGUCCGAUCAAGGUGUAAAGGUGGACCCCAGGAAGACUGAAGUUGUUAAGAAUUGGCCAAGACCUCUUAUUCCCACAGAUAUCCGUAGCUUCUUGGGAUUGGCUGGUUACUACUGCAGGUUCAUGGAGGGAUUUUCUUCCAUUGCUGCCCCACUGACAGCUCUGACUAAGAAGAAGGCCAAGUUUGAAUGGACAGAGGCUUGUGAGAAGAGUUUUCAGGAGCUCAAGGACAGACUCACUUCAACCCCGGUGCUUACUUUGCCCAAGUGUGGUGAGAAUUACACUGUUUAUUGUGAUGCAUCUAGGGUUAGUUUGGGUUGUGUUCUUAUGCAGACUCGUAAGGUGAUAGCUUAUGCGUCGAGACAGCUCAAGGUUUAUGAAAAUAAUUAUCCCACUCAUGACCUGAAGUUGGAAGUUGUGGUUUUUGCACUGAAAGUGUGUAGGCACUAUUUGUAUAGAGUGCAUGUGGAUGUGUUCACAGACCACAAGAGUCUUCAGUACGUGUUCACACAGAGGGAGUUGAAUCUACGUCAGCAUAGAUGGUUGGAGUUGUUGAAGGAUUAUGACAUGAAUGUUCACUACCAUCUAGGUAAGGCUAAUAUUGUAGUUGAUUCUUUGAGACGGAUGAGCAUGCGAAGUACAACCCACAUUGAGGAUGAAAAGAAGGAGUUAGCGAAAGAUGUACACAGACUGGACAGAUUAGGUGUGUAAUUGGUUGACUCUACUAGUGGGGGUGUUUCAGUUCAUCCUAGUUUUGAAUCAUCCUUGGUAGUUGAAGUCAAGCAGGGUCAGCAUCUCGAUCCAAUGUUGAUGGAGCUGAAGGACUCAAUGUUGAUAAAGAUGAAUGAGUCUGUCGCUUUGAGAGGUGAUGACAUACUUAGGUAUCAAGACAGGAUGUGUCUACCAGAUGUGGAUGAUUUGCGGACCAAGAUUGUAGCAGUGGCCUAUGGUUCCAGAUAUUCCAUACAUCCAGGUUCCACCAAGAUGUAUCAUGAUUUUAAGAAGAUUUAUUAGUGGGAUGCCAUGAAGAAGAACAUUGCAUAAUAUGUGGCCAAGUGUCCUAAUUGUCAGCAGGUUAAGGCAGAACAUCCUAAGCCUGGUUGUCUUACUCAAAUUAUUGAGAUUCUGACUUGGAAGUGGGAGGCUAUUAAUAUGGACUUCAUGGUUGGUCUUCCGAUGACUAAGAGACAGCAUGACUGUCAUUACGCUAGAUAGUAGAAGUGUCAUUCGGGGAUCAAUGUUCCCAAGUGGGGGGGGGGAUAAUGUAACAACCCUAAAAAUGAAUAAGAUAAUAAAUGUUAAUGUGUCAAGAAUGCCUAUGAUUAGACUAGGGUUCGCACGAAUUGAUGCGCGUAGAACCAGACCUCGGGAACCUUGCUACAUCCAAGCCAACUAACUUAGGGAGUUAGUUGAGCUUGGAAAGGUUGGGUCUAACCAUGUAGGGCUCUCGAAUAUGAAGAUUUACUCGAAUGAGUCUUUACCGGACUUAAAAAAGGAAAUUAGGGUUAAAAGGGUUUUUUUUCUGGCUAAGAGUAGUAUUGUAAUUAUCCUAAAUAUAUAAUCAAUUAUUUAUUUAAUAAUUUGUAGGGGCAAAAUGGGGAGAGAGAGAGAGAGAGAGAGAGAGAGAGACGAAAUGGAGCUCUUGAAGUUAAAUCUUGCUCCACCCGGGGUCGAACCUAGGUGGGAGCAAUGAUUUAAUGUGAUAUUUUUAUUGGUGAAUUAAUUUAAUAAAUUAAUAAUUAAUGGCUGAUAUAAAAAGGAAAAUCAGAUUUUAUUAUUAAUUAUUAUUUAUUAAUUAAUUAAUAUGUUUUUAUGACUAAGUCUCCUAGUCGACUAAGUCUAAACUACUUCACCUCUUUUAACUCUCUCUCACGCUCAUCUCUCUGACGUUUUCUCCGCUCUUUCACGUUCUCUCUGCUAGAAAAAUACAAGAACUGAUCAGCAACUAAGCUUUCUUAACACUUGAAAAACUUUCAUGUUAAAAAAACUUAUUCAAAUAUAGCCAAAAAGUUAGGCAAAGAGAGGAGUCUUUUCGUCAAAAACUUUGUGUUAAAAACUUGGCUUGGGCGUGACUUAUGGAGAGGGUCUAGGAAGCAACUUCAAGGUUUGAACGUCAAAAUAAGCUAUGGAUUUCUCUCUUUGAAUCCUUUAUCCAAGCGAAGUUUCUUUCUACAAAAUUCAAACAUAUGAAACUAGGGUUGUCCCCUUGAAUGUUGAACUCCUUGUCCCUAGUCUCCUUUCGAUUUCAAUCUAAAGUAGGUUAGAAAUUAUGUUGUUGGUAUGGUUUCUUGUAGCUAAGUGUGAAAUAUGAUAUUCUUUGUGAUUGUGUUUGGAAAUAGCAAGCAUGUUCAAUGAUGUCAACCGAAAAUGAUGUGGUUCAAUAUGUAAAUUUUUGGUGUUGUUGUUAUCUGUUUUGAAGUCUUAAAAUGAUUAGUUUGAUGGCUGAAAUUAACGUGCAUAAAAUGUGUAAUUCGUGAUGUUCAUAUGAGGUGUAUGUAAUUGAUUUUAAGUGGAAAGUUGCAGCUAAAACAACAAUGCAUCUACACCUAAUAAUGUGUUAAACGAAUCCAUGAAAUACACCCCAAAAAGGUGUUAAAAUAUCCAUGAUUUUUCCUAAGUUUUCAAGUGGAAAUAUUGGUGAAAAUAAGGUAAGAAAAUGACUUAUUUUCCUGGAAAAACAACAAGUUUCGUUUAGGCUAAAGUAUAGAGGAGUAAUCUGUAAAUUUAAUUGGUUUUAAAAGGGAUGAGGCCACCAGGAUUCGAACAUGUGACCUCACCCGUGUGGAACCUUAAUUUCGCAAGAAAAAAAAGAAAAAAAGGGUUGGGGAGAUUCAAAAUGGGGUGUACAGGUGAGUAAGGAGAAUGCAAAAAUUCAAAUAAAUAAUAUGGGAGGCGUGCGAAUCGAACCCACGACCUCCAGGCAAUAGAUGAAGGGAAAGAAAAAUAAAAGAAAGUAAGUGUAAGGCGUGGGAAUCGAACCCACAACCUCAAGGCUGGAAAAAGGAAAGGGGCGAAAUAAAUUAAAGAACAAAGUGAGGUUGUGGGGGCCCGAUCCCACAACCUCACUACCAAACGCAUAGUAAGUCAAUUUUUAAGUAAAAACAAAAUACGGAGGUUAUGGGGGUUCGAACCCACAACCUCCAUGUCACUAGAAAAAUAAAGAGUGAAUAAAGAUAGGUUGUGGGGGUUUGAUCACAGUCAUCACACAACCUCUUAGUUUAGGCGAAUUGGGCAACACAAUUUUAAAUGAAAAAUAAAAAGGGGUUGCGGGGGUUUGAUCCCACAACCCUUCGGCCAAAUAAGAGUUGAAUCCAAACAGAAAAAUAAAGAUAGAAUGUUGAUGUUGGGGCUCGAUUUAGGGUCCCAAUGUCAUGAAGACUAAAAAUAAAGUCAAGAAAAAAUGUAGGUAUUGUCCAAGAGAUGUGAACUUGGGUUCCCUUGCCCAAAUUUCCUUAUUGAUGCGUAAAUCAUACGUGAAUUAAAUGUUCAAGAAUAGUGUCAUAUACUUAGAUCAAAAUCGAAAUCUUUGGCAUACAUACAAUAUGAAUAAGUCUUGUACUACAUAAUCUUAGAAAGAUAUGAGUCAGUUAACGAACUAUGAAUGAAGCCUCAUGGCUAGUAUGUAUUGACCCAUAAGUCUAGCAUACGUUUAAGAAUAAGUGAACGUAAGAUCUAUGUAAAGAAAUGAAGUAACCCUAGAAGGGUUAAGUACGAGUGUGAAACACACUAAAUGAUUAAGUGCAUUGGCAUGUGAUGAAAUCAACAUUCACGUAAAAUGGGGUGAGUAAUUAUGAAGAGCAAUUGUGCUAAUGUUAAUGAAUGUGGUGACAACAUGAUAUGAGGCUAAUGUAAGAGAUCAGAACAAUCUCAAAUGAGCCUGAGUAAAUGUUACCAAAACGUACUCACAUAUGAGAUUGUAAAGUUAAUGUAGAGACCAAUCUCUAUGAACACUCUAAUGAAAGUAUUGAGAUUAACACACUUAAUACUAAUGAUAAGAUUAGAAAUCAUCUAUUGAGUUAUGAUGUCCUCAUACUAGAAGCCAGCUUCCAUGACGUAUGAGUUGAAUGUAAUGGAACUUUAUACUGAGCACUUAUAGACUAUCUAUGAGCGGUGAUGCCUUCUUUUGGGAAGGGCGAAGGUUCACGCAACUCUCAUGAAAUGAGACUGUCCGCAUGCCAGGUAUGGGUCUCCUGAUAUCUCCUAGUUUUCGAACCUAUACUGCCAAUAAAGGGAUCUGGCGGGGUUAAAUUCCUAUCUACGCUAGCAUGUUUUGGAUCACUUUGGUUGGUGAUUCCACCUCUUUUCGGUGUGGGAGAGACACUGGAUUUCAUGAUCUAUGUCGAUUAAAGUUAAAGUUCCCAAUGAAUAAAUGAGGCCAGCCUCAAUGAUGCACAUAAUGAAAUGAACGAUACGAAAGGUGUUAGGAUAGGAUAGUCAAGAGGUGAUCAAGACUGAAGUAAUGACACUAGGUUAUUCUUGAUCAUUGCACAGCAAACCCGAUGAAAGUCUUAAACUACAUCCUAGGUAUAGCUGGUGUUCACACUAGCCUAUGAACGAAAUGAAAUGAAGUACAUAUGAAUGAAUGAAACCGACUCUGUGUUUGUUAAUGAAGACUUCCUAGUUGAGGUCCCAUAUGUUGAGCCUCCAUUUUGGAAAGUCUUAAUGUAAAGUCCAUGAUUCCAAGAUCUCAUGGCAUAUGAUAUGUGCUAUAUUUAAGAUGUUAUGUGUUAUAUGCAAUAUGAUGUGUGUUACGUGUAAGAUGUUAUGUGUUGUGUGCAAUAUGAAAAAUAUAACGAUGCAUGUUACUCUCAUGGCAUGACUUUCCUAAUCCAAAUUUGAAAAGGUCACUGACUUUCCUAAUCCAAUUUUGGAAAGUUCACUGACUUUCCUAAUCCCAAUUUGGCAAGUCCACUAACUUGACUUUCCAUAAUCAUGUUGUUAGGAAAGAGCUAUCUUUACUCAUGCAUGUCGUUGGUGUGUGCUUGCAUAUACCCAUACUUAGUACAAGUGUGUAUUAAUCCCAUACAACUCUAUAUUUUUAGGUGCAGGCACAGGUGGAUGCUAGAGCUUACAAGUUGACGUUGCAGCUAUCCAGACGUGGAGUUUUCAUCCUGACUUGGUAGGCCCUCAUGCUUUCGAGGAUGCCUACCGGUAUUAUCUAGCUUAGACUUAGGCUUUAGCUAGUGGAGCAUGUUCCACUAGUGUUUCUUUUCACUUUCAUUUCAUACUUUGUAUUGGUGCCGUUUUGGUAAAAAUAUGUUUAAGGGAAUUAUGAACUAUUUUUUUCAUAUGAUUAUCACUAUAUUAGAUGGUUGAUUCGUAAACGCCUAUGAUGUUAAGUUUAAAAUGUUUAGCAUAAAGUAAGAAGACAAACUUUAAAUUUUCCGCUAAAGUUAACCUAUAUGAAGUAAGAAUGGCAUAUGUAGGCUUGUUUGCGACCUAUGAGAGGUCAACGACGCCGGUCUCUUCUGGGGUCUAGAUUCCGGUCUUGACACUCUAGUAUGCUGAUUUUUAAAAAGAAACCAAACAAACUGAAUAUUUUUAUGUAAUAUUUUGUGUCUUUCAAAUAUGUAUGAUAAGUUCAAUUGUGGUCCAAUAUGAUACAUUUUUCCUUUUAUUUUCUAUUUUAAUAAUUUCUUAUGAUACAUUUAACUUGGGAACUUUUAAUUGAUUAUGUAAAGCAAAAGGCAGCGCUGGACUUUCUACACAUUGAAAAUUAGAAUUUUCAUUUACUUUUUUCACUCUUUUAAAUUUAUUUAUCACAUCACCAACAAUUAUUUAUUUAUUAGAAAACUCAAUAUCUCAAGUUGAUGUUUAUUGGAUUCCCCAAAAAUAUCAAAUGGUAACACUUUCAAGAAGCAAAAGGAUAUUUUGAUAUAAUUAUUAAUGUUCAUUAGUACGUAAUCUUGUAUGUAAGAUAAUAUAGUGUUUUAGUUUUAAUGACUAAUAGUCUUUAGGUAUUUUUUAUAAAUUUCGUGAAAUUAAAUUACCGCAUGAAGCACGAGUAAUUUUACUAUUAAUUUAUAUAACAAAAUUUUAAUUGAUUUUAAAGUCCUAAAUUAUAGUACUAUGCACAAGUAAGACAUAAUUUAAUUUUUAAAAAGAGUUAGUUAAUUUUAAAGUUUUAAAUAUUAACAAAUUGAUGAUAAAAUGACUUUUAUCUAAUGUAAAUUCUAUUUUAAAGCAUAAAGAUUGUGACUACAAUUAUAAGAGUUCCUCUUACAUUUCGACUUAUGGAAUCUCUUAACAAUAAAUAUCUCGUAUAAUUCCAUAAGUGAGUGUAGAAAACAAAGUUAUGUACAAACCUUUGCUACAAAGUAAUAGAGAGGUUGCUACCCAAUAAUAGAGAGGUUGUUUCUGAUAGACCCUUGUCUCAAGGUAAAGUAUAUCAAAGGCCAAUCAAAAAAGAAAUUUCUAAGGGAAAAUUUCCAAAAAUAGCAAAUAUUAGGCAUUCCAUAGCUAUAGUUUGCUUAAUUAUGAAUAAUAGCAAAAUGUUAUGAAAGAUAGGAGAAAGGCGAGCGAGACCUGGGAGAGGGUGUAUUUUUGGCUGAUUCGGAAGAAAAAAAUACAAAAAUAAGUUGAUUUGUAUCAAAAUGUAUACUUGUUAAGAGGAGAGAGACAAGUAAAUUCUAGAGAGGAAGCAGAGAGGAUUGUAUUUAUUUUGCAUUGUGUUAUGUAUUAGUUUUGUAUCAAUUGUAUUGGAAAUACAAUAAAUCAUACUUUGUAUUUAUUUUGCAUUGUAUUCUUUAUUUAUUUAGUAUCAAUUGUAUUCAAUAUACAAAUGUAUUCAUCCUCUCUUUGAUUGGACACAAAUACAUUUGAAAGAGAGGAUGAAUACAUUUUAUAUUGAUACAAAUACAAUUAAUACAAAAAAACAAAAUAUUAUUUUUAAAAUACAAAAGUAAUAAAAUACGAAACUAUCACCUGUGUUUAAUUAAAUACAAUUGAUACAUAGUACAUUUGAAUGAAUUGCUCUUUUUGUUUUACAGUAUAUUAGAACUAUAGUUAUUUUCCAUAAAUAAAUUUUAAUUUUGAGUGGUUCCAUAAUUUUUCCAUUUGUUAGUGAGUGGUCAGUAUAUUCUUGUACAAAUUUUAACCUUGCAAUCGUGUUAGUAUACGACAGUAGAAUGGAGUUGAGGAAUCAUUCACAGAAGUAAUUUAAUAAUGUUAACUGACAAACAAUUGACUUACUAAUAAGAGAUUACAUACGAAAGUUUAACAACAUUAACAUGAGCAGGUUCACAAAUACGACAAUAAUGAUACAAACGAAUCAUCCUGGAUAGCACGUAGUACACUUCCCAAUCAUUGAAGGAACAUUAGUACUUAAGGGCUUGGCAGAGGUGGCAAUGGUAUUGGCAACUGUGGCAGAGGUAGCUGAGGUUUGGGAAGUUGUGGCAUAGGUAAUGGCAAAUCCGGUUUGGGCAAAGGUGGCAGCUGAGGGUUUGGAAGUUGUGGCUGAGGAAGAUUAGGCAUAGGUAAUGUGGGCAGUCCAGGCUGCGGCAGUGGAAGAUUGGGCAUAGGUAGUGUGGGCAAUCCAGGCUGCGGCAGUGGAAGAUUGGGCAUAGGUAAUGUUGGUAGCUCAGGUUUUGGGAGACCAAUGGGGAGAUCUGGCAAAGUUGCGUCCAGAAGAUGGCGAGCCUCAACUUGAAUUACAUGGCUCCUGAUUGAUGACAAGACAACGAGGAAGAGAAGGUAAAGAGACUGAUGAGCCAUUGUUAUAGCAGACUGUUUCUUGAGCUUUGGUGGAUGAAGAGUGAGGCUUAUAUAGAAAGCAGAGUGUGAAUUUGUUUGGUGGGGAAAAAAUUGGUCUGCUUUAUCAGUAAUAUUAUCAAGAAUAUUUU
rnacentral:lncRNA from 1 species